GUGGAUAAUUGGUUGGGCUGGUGGAAAGAAAAAAUUUUAGAAUGCAACGGCUAUAUUGGUAACGUGACGUAAUAAAUUAAUUAAAUAUUUUUUUUUAAAAAUAUAUGUCCUAUCAUAAUUAUAAAAUAAUAUUUUUAUUAUACUUUUAUUUAAAAAGAAGAAAUAUUAUUGGCUUGUUAUUAAUGAUGUGGUGCAAGUGUGACAGUAUAGAAUUCCUCCGUGGAAAGGCCUCUUGCCUUUUAUGUUACUAAGAAGCGAACUUGUAGUCACAAAUUUAGACCGAAAAAAAAAAAAAAAGUUUUGCAUUUCCUUAUCACUUUAGUACUCUAUAGUUUAAAGUGUAUUAAUUUAGUACCACGUGGUUUCAUUUUUUUUUUUUCGUCAGCUUUUUCGUUAAUAUUUCGUUAAAUUAUAUACAAAAAACUUUAGAUACCCAUCUAGGUUUAUCGGACAUUCAUUUUAGUAUUUUCUAGUUUUAACUUUGUCGUUGAUUUAAAAAAAAAAAGAAAUUAGUAAAAUUAAUAAUAAAAAGAGAAAAAUGAAACCACAAGAUACUAAAUUGAUACAUUUUAAAUCACAAAAUAUUAAAAUGAGAAAGUGCGUAACUACAGUGAUGUUAUUUGAAAUUUUUUCAAAAAAAAAACGAAGACCAAAAAGUUUGAAGCUUUUUUUUGCCUAAUUAUAGCUGCGUUGGCAAGGAAGAAGUGAAGUUGUGCGCAAGCGCAAGCAGAUGAAAGAUCUUACGCUUGUAUCAUCACUGUUAGCAGCAACUUAAUUGAAUAAAAUAAUCACAGGUAAAUUAAGAAACAUCAAAAAAGGCUCCAUCUUUUCUGCGUAAACCAUAUAACCAUUCUCUUCUAAAAAUUGAGGCAUCUUUAGAUCACCAUGUAAGUAAGUAUAUAUAUCAGAUCUUGGUAAUGCCCAGCAGCUGUAAGACCAGUCGCUUUGCAAUGCCAUUCUGGACAAAUAACUAAGUACAAAAUUUGCAUGACAAGAAAGGUCACAGACAGUGAUAUGGCUAAUUUAACGUUAAAGUUUCUGAAAAAGUGCGGCUCAACCAAGCUAAGCCGAAAAUUCUGUUGAGUUUGAUAUAUUUUACAAUCGGCAUGAGAAAUCAUUAAACAGUUUCUGCUAUUAUAUUUUUAUAUUUUUUUCUAUUUAGAAACAAACAGAAUAUUUUUCUAUCAUCGUUUCUCACCGCACGUAACGCAACCUCUCCGCAAUCCUAAACGAAACCUACAUCUCCUAAAACACUAAAGCAAAAGCAAAGAUCAAGAAUACACAAUUCGUCAGAGUUCAAAAUAAAUCUUUACUUACAUGCAAACGGUAUAUACUUUACAAAUUAGGAUUGAGUGUAUUAAUAAUCUCGCCAAUCUUUCUUCGACUCGUUUAAGGCUGCUAACAUACACAGAUCACAAAAGAAGCAUAGCAAUUACAAGCAAAAAAACAAAAACAAAUGGCCACAAAUUUGUAGAAAAGGCGAUAGGAAAUAUAAGCAUAUGAAAUUUGAGCAACUCAACCAUUAAUUUCGGGCCAGUAAUAGUAGGAGAAUUUCAAACAAAUAAUAGAAAAGACGAAGCAUGAAAAGGAAACUUAUAAGCAAAUGUACACUACCAGUAAUAGCAGAGUAAAAAAUAAGGAGCAACGAAAACAGCAUAAGCACAUCAGGGACAAAAUAAAAGAACUUCAAUACUAUAAAAAACAAGAAGAAAAGUAUCCAAAUAGCUACACGAGGACUCGAGAGGUACGGCUCAGAUAGUAUCAAAAAGAAAAGUAGAGUAAAUGUGACCACUAAGGGGCGCAACAACACGGCAAUUGUAACUCUAUGCAAGUGCAAAUUCAGUGUUUGAUUUGAUAUAUUUAAUUACAACUGUGCAGUAAAAACUGCAGGAAAAGGUUUAUCUGUAGCAGUUGGGACUACGCCUAAAUUAGCCGUAGUUCUAACUAUAGCCGUUAGUGAGAGUAACUUCAAAUAAAAAGUAAACUUACCUUCUUAAUUAUUUUUUAAAUAAAAAAUAAUUUUUUUUCUCGCCAUCAUAUAUAUAAAAUGAUAAAAUUUUAAAAAUUAUUUCUCAAUUAUAUGCAACAAAAUAAAUUAUUUGUAGUUGCAGCGUUUUCUACUCUAUCCAAUCAAAUAUAUUGCAUGUAAUUACAAUUGCUGCAUUUUCAGUUGUAUACAUCUCCAACUAUAUAGUAUUUGUAAUUGCAUCUAACGAACCGGUCCUUAAGUUCCAUAUUUUAUUAUCAAACAAACAUGAGAAGUAUAUAAAUUGUAAGCAUUCUUUCUACUACCAAUUUGCCCUUACGCUUUAUCGUGAAGAAUUAAAACUUAAAAGACAAAAAAAAUUAUUGUACCAAAGAUUUAAUAUAUAGACAAUGGGCUUGGGCUUUGUACGUUUAUGCUAAUGCUAGUGCCUUAGGUCUAGCGUGUUAGGGAUAUUUUAGGGAUUCCUAAGAAAUAAAUGUCACAGUAGAGUGAUAAAAAGAUGAGAAUAAAUAUUACCCUUUCUUUAUGUUGAGAAAUAUAUUAUAUAUAUACUAUAAUUAUAUUAUAUAUAUAUAUAUAUAUAUAUUUAUAGUCUCUAUAAAUCUUUUAAUCGUCCAAAAAAGAAUUCACAAUGGCAGCCCACUUUCAAAGUUGGGUGUGGGCUCGCAUUUUCAAGGUUUGCUCUUUCUUGGCCCGCUCACUUUUUUUUAAUCGUUUCUUCCCAUGUGACAGUUUUAUCUCUUCUCAUAUACCGUUCUAAUUUUUCAUGCAACUGUUUUCUUGUCCACAUACGCUGUGAUUCUUUUUCUACUUUCUUUCAAUGCAUUUUUUUAUUAUCUUUGCUUUUUCAAUGUAGUUAGUGUGACUGAUUUAUGUGAUGUCUCUUCUUUGGCACAUCCGUGUCAAGGGCGCCAAUCCAUCCACUUCCUCCCUCCUUGGCGAUCCCGGAUCUUCCUCUGCCACACCACUAUCCACGACCUCCUCUCUACAUCCACAAUCGCCGUCGUAAACAGGCCGCGUUGAAGGCGGCUUCGUUUUAAUCGCUUUUUUAUCUCUUUGUAAUUUUUUUUUAUUUUUUUGUGUUGGGAGAUGAAAGAGAGCGAGAGUUUAUCCGAGAUGUAGAGAAAGAUAGAGGAAAGGAUUUAGCAAACUGUGGGUGGUGUACUGGAAUCUGUAGUCGGAAUAGAGGAUGAGGUUUCCCCGUCAAUGUAGGUGGAGUAACGUGCGACCGCCUAAUGCGAUGCGGCAGCAUAGGGUCCACUAUUAAUGGAGGGGUUAGAGGUGAGGGUGGAUUCCGUCGCGUCCAAUCUAUCCUGUCCAUGACAGCUUCUUCGUUUGUUUUUAUUGAAUGAAUACUUUUACUUUUUUAUUGGUAGCUUUUAUAUUUCCACUCCGCUACGAAGCGUGGAUGCUUUCACUAGUGUGUUCAACCCAAGGGCCCACAUCAUCCUAACGCACAUCACUUAAUCCAAUGGCCAAAAACUUGGUAGCACCAUUGACUUGGUGCUAUUAAUAGCAUAGUAGCCUAGUUCUAUCAUAUGAUGUCCGGCUGCUAUGCUAUCAAUAGCACCAAGUAGUUUGGUGCUAUCAAGUUUUCUGUGUUAGACUCAACCCAUUUGAUUAUUUUUACCCGUUAGAUUAUACUAUUCAACUAACACCCACUCAACCCAAGGGGCCCACUAUCAUCCUAAACCGCACAUCACUUAAUCCAAUGGCCAAAAACAUGUAGCACCAAUGACUUGGUGCUAUUAAAUAGCAUAGUAGCCAAGUUCUAUCUAUAUGAGUCGCGCUGCUAUGCUAUCAAUAGCACCAAAGUAUUGGUGCUAUCAAGUUUCUUGCCGUUAGAUUAACCCUUUGAUUAUUUUUACGUUAGAUCAUACCAUUCAACCAACAACCCACCCACUUAACCCAAGGAGCCCAAUCAUCCUAACGCACAUCACUUAAUCCAAUGGCCAAAAACUUGGUACCAAUGACUUGGUGCUAUUAAUAGGCAUAGUAGCCUAGUUCUAUCUAUAUGAGUCCGGCUGCUAUGCUAUCAAUAGCACCAAAUAGUUGGUGCUAUCAAGUUUCUGCCGUUAGAUUAAGCCCUUUGAUGUAUUUGUACCGUUAGAUUAUACUAUUCAACCAACACCCACUCAACCCAAGGGGGCCCACAUCAUCCUAACCGCACAUCACUUAAUCCAACAUGGCCAAAACUUGUAGCUCCAAUGACUUGGUGCUAUUAAUAGCAUAGUAGCCUAGUUCUAUCUAUAUGAGUCCGGCUGCUAUGCUAUCAAUAGCACCAAGUGUUCGGUGCUAUCAAAUUUAUCUGCCGUUGAUUAACCCCUUUGAUUAUUUUUACCCUUUAGAUUAUACUAUUCAACCAACACCCACUCAACCCAGGGGCCCACAUCAUCCUAACCGCACAUCACUUAAUCCAAUGGCCAAGAACUUUGGUAAGCACCAAUGACUUGGUGCUAUUGAUAGCAUAAGUACCUAGUUCUAUCUUAUAGUCGCGGCUGCCUUCAGAAUAGCACCAAGUAGUUGGUGCUAUCAAGUUUUUCUGCCGUUAGAUUAACCCUUUGAUUAUUUUUACCCGUUAGAUCAUACAUUCAAGCAACCACCCACUCAACCCAAGGGGCCACAUCAUCCUAACCGACAUCACUUAAUCCAAUGGCCAAAAACUUGGUAGCACCAAUGACUUGGUGCUAUUAAUAGCAUAGUAGCCUCGUUCUAUCUAUAUGAGUCCGGCUGCUAUGCUAUCAAUAGCACCAAAUAGUUGGUGCUAUCAAGUUUUCUGCCGUUAGAUUAACCCCUUUGAUUAAUUUUUACCCGUUAAGUAUAUAUUCAACCAACCAGCCACUCAACCCAAGGGGGCCCACAUAUCCUACACGCACAUUCACUUAAUCCAAUGGCCAAAAACUGGUAGGCACCGAUGACUGGUGCUAUUAAUAGCAUAGUAGCCUAGUUCUAUCCAUAUGGUCCGCGCUGCUAUGCUAUCAAUAGCACCAAGUAGUUGGUGCUAUCAAUUUUCUGCCGUUAGAUUAUCCUUUGAUUAUUUUACCCUUUAGAUUAUACUAUUCAACAACACCCACUCAACCCAAGGGGGCCCACAUCAUCCUAACCGCACAUCACUCAAUCCAAUGCCAAAAACUUGGUGACCACAUGACUUGGUGCUAUUAAUAGCAUAGUAGCCUAGUUCUAUCUAUAUGAGUCCGGCUGCUAUGCUAUCAUAGCACCAAGUAGUUGGUGCUAUAAUUUUCUGCCGUUAGAUUAACCCCUUUGAUUAUUUUUAUCCGUUAGAUUAUACUAUUCGACCAACCACCCACUCAACCCAGGGGCCCACAUGCAUCCUAACCGCACAUCACUUAAUCCAAUGGCCAAAAAACUUGUAGCACAAUGACUUGGUGCUACUAAUAGCAUAGUAGCCUAGUCUUAUAAUAUAUAUAUAUAUAUAUAUAUAUAUAUAUAUAUAUAUAUAUAUAAUAUAUAUAUAUAUUAUAUAUAUAAGCCAUAUAUAUAAGUGCUUGGUGAUGUUAUGGAAGCAUGAGGCUCCGUGCUUCCAAGUUGUUUUCGAUGUUCGCGUACUUUCGAAUCGACGAUCGGCUCUGUUAGAGUUAUUUAGAGUAUUUGAAGUACUAGAAAAUAAAUUUUGCGAUUUUCGAUAUCAUGUGCCUAGUGAUCGAAGGGGCUCAAAUCAAUAAUUUUACGGCCGUGCGUGAGCCGGUUGCAAGUUUAACGUGUAAAAAUAUCCAAAUCACAUGAAACUUUUGAUAGAAAAUUCUUAUACAUAUAAAAUAAGAUCAAUAACUUGAUCUAAAAUUUUAAUGUCAUAUCAUCUUAUUUUGUAAGAUUUUAUUUUCAGCCCGUUGAUUUUGAGCCACUUCGAUCACUAGGCAAAUGAUAUUCGAAAAAUCGCAAAAUUUAUUUUCUAGAUACUUCAAAUACUCUAGAUCAACUCUAACGGAGCCGAUCGUCGAUUCGAAAGUCCGUACAUCGAAAACAAAGUGAAGCACGGAGCCCUCCGUGCUUCCAUAAGCAUCCUAGCCGCACUUCUAUAUAUAUAUAUGUACUAUCUAUAUAUAUACUACUAUAUAUAAUGAGAGAAAGCCACCAUGAGUGCACUCUUGAUGGCUAAGGGAAAUGAUGUGCACGAGAGGCCAUCGAACUGCCGCAGAGGGGAAGAGGUAGAGAGAAGAGAGAGGAUGGUUGCUAGCGAGGGUGGGGUGGUCAUCAGUUGUGGGGGCGCGGGGCAGCUAGAAUGAAUGAGAGAGUCGAGCUGGGAAUACUAUCGUAAACCAAGGAUUUGAGCUUAUAUCCGAGUUCUCCACCGUUAGAGUUUACUUUGUAUUUUUACCAUUAGAUUGGGCGCAUCAUUCCUAACACAUAUUUCUCAAUCCAAUGUUAAACUAAAUAGCAACGCAUAGCUCCUGCUAUUAUAGUAUUUUCCAACCUAGUUCUCUCUCUCCCUCUCUCUCUCUCUCUCUCUCUCUUCCUCUCUCUCUCUCCUCCUCUCUCUCAUCAUAUAUAUAUAUAUAUAUAUAGAGUUGAGCUAGAAUACUCUCGAUAGUAAACAGAGCGUUUUACUAUCAAGUUGUUUUCGAUGAUAGAGCUUCCAAAUUAACGAUCGGCUCCGUUAAAUAUGAUCUAAACCAUUUAAACUACCUAGAAAUUAAAUUUCACGCACUUUCGAUAUUAUUCUUUUAUCCAUCUAGUGAACAGAAAAUGAAUGGUUGAAAAUGAAUAUUCUUUAAAAAAUGAUGAUAGGAGUCUUGUAAUCAAGAUCAAGAGUACAGAUCUUGUUUUAAAUAGUUUAAAGAAUUUUCUAACAAAAAUUCAAUUGAUUUGGAUAUCUUUACACCGUUAAAGAGAGAAAACGUCUCUUAUCCACCAUUAAAAUUAUAAAUUUUGAAACCCUUUGAUCAUUAGGCAAAUGAUGUCGAAAAGAUUUGAAAUUUGAUUUGUAAAUACUUUAAGUGGUAUAGAUCAUGUUCAACGGAGCCGAUCGUCAAUUUGGAAGCUCUAUCAUCGAAAACAACUCGAUAGUAAAACGCUCCGUUUACUAUCGAGAGUAUUCUAGCUCAACUCUAUAUAUAUAUAUAUAUAUAUAUAUGUCACAUGUUGUAAUUAGAUAUAAUUUUUAUAGUUUUAUUUAAAAAAAUAAAAGAGUAUAUGUAUGUACCUAACUUUAUACCUAAUUCCUUUUUGCCUUGGUAAAUGAAGUAUGUUUUCUAUCUGCUUUCGCUUUCAAGGGAGAAAAAACAAAUCGACUUAUUAUCACUACUUAGAAAAUGCGAUUUUCUUAUUUUCUGGCUUCGAAUUCCAUUUUAAAGCCAUUUGCAUAAACCCAUUAUUACCUAAUUAAUGUAGAAGGACUUUGCUGAGUAGUGUAAAACAACCUUUAUUUUUUAAUGAAAAUUUUAAACUGGCAUAGUGAGUUAGAGAACGGCCGUUUUAUAUAAUAAUAGAAACAUUGACGUGACUCGAAUUUAGAACCUUCUACUCUGAUACAAUAUAAAACAAUUAUUAUUUUUUAAAUUUAAAAUUAUGUUUAGCUCGAAUACAAAGAAGGAAAUAAAACCUUAUUUCUCCCUUUAUAUCCAAACAAAAAAUGAGAAAAAUGGGGACUAUUGUUUCCACCUCUCUAAUUAAUGAAUUAUUUGGAAUUACCCAUUAAGCGGUGGAAACAAUAAUUCCCUACUCAUGCCAGAACAAGCUUGUCCCAAUAGCUGGAACAAGUUAAAUUAUUUUUUAUAUUUAAUUAAUUAAUUAAUAUAUUUUUAUUAUAUUAUAUAAUAUUUAUAGCUAAUAAAUUUAUUAAUUUAUUUUUAAUUAUUAUUUUGAUGUUAAUUAAUUAGAUAAAAUUUUAAUUUAAAAUUAUAAUUCUUAUUCCUUCUGUUCCAAUCUAAUCAUUCAAAUACUAUUACCUUAUUUCCAAGACCAAUCCAAUUUUCACUCAAAUACAAAAUUGGUUUAGUUUCUGCUUAUAUCUGAACGUAUACUUAUCUCUGAAAUAAUCAGUUUUUACUUAUAUCCGAACCAAACAAAAUAGCUUAAGCUAAUAGAGAAUAAUAUUUUUAUAUGUAACAAGAAGCGCCUCAAUGAAAUCUCGUUAAGUCAGUUUGGUGAAGCAUACCAAAGCCCUUCUGAUGGGGUUAUUGCCAAACAAACAGUUUCCGCAUGUAUGCUUUGGGAAGCAAGUAGACAAAAAAGAGGUGCGCUCGGAGAAAGGAGCUUGCAACAAUUGCCUCUCCAUGGUGGGCCAUUUGGUUGGAGAAAAAUAGAAAAAUUUUUGAAAAUUCUAAAUGUACGGCGAGAUACUUCGCGACCGAUAUACGCUCUCUAAGAGACACUUGGGCUCUCUUCCGUUAGUUUUUUUUUUUCCUGUGAGGCCUAACUGCCUCAGAUUGUAGCCCAGUUUAAUCUUUAUUGAAUGAAGCAUUACCAAACCGCCUUAUUUUAAAUUUUUUUUUUAAAAAAAAAGGUUUGGUGAACCAACCAUUUCACCCUAUUCAUAGCUUUGUUCCGGUCUAAAAAAUUUUCGUACGAAUCUCAAGACUAGGGACGUCAAUGGAUAUUGAAACCCGAAAUUUUAUCCGAAUGAAACGAAUAUAUCUGAUACUAAAUGGAUAUAAAUUCAGAUAUAGAUAUCAAAAAUAGAAACAAGACGGAUAUGGAUUCGGAUAUGAAUUUUGACUGUACCCUACUCGAAUCCGAACCCAACCCGAACCCAAAUUUAUUUUGUAUUUUAUAUAUAUAUAUAUAUAUAUAUAUAUAUAUAUAUAUGUCACAUGUUGUAAUUAGAUAUAAUUUUUAUAGUUUUAUUUAAAAAAAUAAAAGAGUAUAUGUAUGUACCUAACUUUAUACCUAAUUCCUUUUUGCCUUGGUAAAUGAAGUAUGUUUUCUAUCUGCUUUCGCUUUCAAGGGAGAAAAAACAAAUCGACUUAUUAUCACUACUUAGAAAAUGCGAUUUUCUUAUUUUCUGGCUUCGAAUUCCAUUUUAAAGCCAUUUGCAUAAACCCAUUAUUACCUAAUUAAUGUAGAAGGACUUUGCUGAGUAGUGUAAAACAACCUUUAUUUUUUAAUGAAAAUUUUAAACUGGCAUAGUGAGUUAGAGAACGGCCGUUUUAUAUAAUAAUAGAAACAUUGACGUGACUCGAAUUUAGAACCUUCUACUCUGAUACAAUAUAAAACAAUUAUUAUUUUUUAAAUUUAAAAUUAUGUUUAGCUCGAAUACAAAGAAGGAAAUAAAACCUUAUUUCUCCCUUUAUAUCCAAACAAAAAAUGAGAAAAAUGGGGACUAUUGUUUCCACCUCUCUAAUUAAUGAAUUAUUUGGAAUUACCCAUUAAGCGGUGGAAACAAUAAUUCCCUACUCAUGCCAGAACAAGCUUGUCCCAAUAGCUGGAACAAGUUAAAUUAUUUUUUAUAUUUAAUUAAUUAAUUAAUAUAUUUUUAUUAUAUUAUAUAAUAUUUAUAGCUAAUAAAUUUAUUAAUUUAUUUUUAAUUAUUAUUUUGAUGUUAAUUAAUUAGAUAAAAUUUUAAUUUAAAAUUAUAAUUCUUAUUCCUUCUGUUCCAAUCUAAUCAUUCAAAUACUAUUACCUUAUUUCCAAGACCAAUCCAAUUUUCACUCAAAUACAAAAUUGGUUUAGUUUCUGCUNAUAGUUACAGGAUUCCGUAUUUUAUUUAGACCAAAAUCAUAGAAUAAAAAUUUCAUGGAGUUUUUUAACUAUCCAUCCAAACAUGGCCUCAGUGUAUGUUGAUGUGGUAUGAAAAGCACAACCAAUAGAUUCAAUUGAAUCCAAUCACUAUUCAAUGGAUAAUUGAACCGGAUUCGAUAAAUUUAAUUCGUUCAAAAAAUUUAAGUGAGAAGCGUUGCAAUCUUGGUUAUUGACCCACUGUAAAUCCUUGGUCUAAUAGUCUUGAGUAGGAAUGUCAAUGGGUAUGGAUGGCCGGAAUUUUAUCCUAACCCGAACCCGAAUGAAACAAAUAUAUUCGAUGCUAAAUUAAUAUGAAUUUGGAUAUGGAUAUAAAAAAUAAAAAUCCGACGAAUAUGAAUUCGGAUAUAGAUUUUGACUGUACCCAACCCGAACCCGAACCCGAAUUUAUUUUGUAUUAUAUACGAGCCCAGCUGCUAUACUAUCCGAACCCGACUGAUUUUAAAAAUUCAUAUCCAAACCCGAACCCGAAAAUUUGAAUCCAAAAUAAUUAUUUUUUUUCAAUAUUUAAAAAUAUAUUAUAUUAAAUCUAAAUUUUUAAAAUACAAAUUCAAAUAUAACAUCAAAUUUAUAUAUAUAUAUAGAGAGAGAGAGAGAGAGUCCGGCUACUAUACUAUCGGUAGCACGGAGGGCUCCGUGCUACCAAAUUGUUUUCGAUGAUGCGGCUUCCAAAUCGACGAUCGGCUCCGUUAGACUUGAUCUAUACUAUUGAAAGUAUUUGGAAACUAAAUUUUAGAUUUUUUCGACAUUAUUUGACUAGUGAUCAAAAUAUCUCAAAAUUGACAAUUUUAAAGGCCGAUGUGGUGUGUUUGUGAGUUUAACGGUAUAAAACAGUCCAAAUUCGAUGAAAAUUUUAUAGAAAAUUCUUUUCACUAUUUAGAGUGAGAUCAGUAUAUCUGAUCUUGAAUUUAAAUCUUUUAUCAUCAUUUUUUAUGAGAUUUUUAUUUUCAGCCGUUCAAUUUUANGAUACCCGCAGUUACCAGUGGGUCGUCCAAAAUAUCUAUAAUUUGACUGGUACCCACUCUUCUUACUCUCAAAUUUUUUGGUAAAAAUAUUAGUGCCUUAUACUCAUAAAUUUACCAAUAAUCCGCGAAUAUAUGUGUGGAUAUGGAUAGAGAUUACCAUAACUAUUUCAAUGAUUACUUGAGGGAAAGAGAUGACCUAAUAUGCGUCGUGAUUCUUCAAGGGAUCACGACCCUUUUACAAUUAUGUUACAAAUACUCUUACACCUAUUCUAUUAUUAUUAAACUAAUAAUAUUUUUAUUGAUACUGAAAACAAUGUUACAAUAAAAAAAAAAAAAAAAGAAAAAGAAAAAGAGACACUAUACUUGCAAGCCCAAAAAUAUACGAUAAUCGUAAUAUAAUAAGAAAUUUUUAAAAAAAAGAGGGAUAACCUUUAAAAUACUUCUAAUCUAACAAAAUAUUUUAAUACAUAAUAAUUAAUUUUCUGAUUUAGUACAUUGGAUAAUUCUAAUCUAAUAAGAGAAAGGCUAGUAUACGCGACGAAUUCAGAUUCAUAAUUGUAGCAAUCCACCACCAAAAUUAUAAGUUGUUUGUUUUUGUAGAAAUAUUGUUUUCAAAGGUAAUUCAAGAUUCUUUACAUAUAUAUUAUUUCUGGUGAUAGAAUAUAAUGUAAGCUAUUUGAAUUUUCUAAAGAUCAAAUUUGUAGAUUUUAUGACAUCAUUUGCUUAUGAAUCAAGUGGGCUCAAAUUCACCAUAUUUAAACCAUUAAAAUGUACUACCAAUUUUUAGACCACUUGAAUUCUAGAAAAAUAUUGUCAAGAUAUUACAAAAUCUAAUUCCCAAAAAAAUUAAAAUAGCCUAUCUCAAGUUUAGCUGUGCCGACAAUCGAUUCAAAUGUUCUAUAACUAAAAAUGAAAUAGAGGCAAACAGCUUGUUUACUUCUGAGAGUGUUCUAGCUCUACCCUUAUACACACAAAAAACUAUAUAAUGCUAUAACUAAAAGCAAAAAGCAUUCAAAUUUGAAUUGCAUUACUACUAUUUUCGAGGGACAUUCUGAGAUAUCCUCUGGGAAAUUUCAGCUGGAAAUUAUAAUAUUGAGUUAUAUAUAUUUAUAUAUAUAGAGAGAGAGAGAGAGGCUGGUAUGCUUCCGAAAGUACGAUACGCUCCGUGCUUUCAAACCGUUUUUGAUGUUGGAACUUUCAAAUCGACGACCGGCUCCAUUAAAUUUGAUCUAGAGUAUUUAAAGUACUUAGAAAAUAAAUCUCGUAAUUUUUCAAUAUUAUUUUGAACCCUUUCGAUCACUAGGCAAAUGGUAUAAAAAAUUAUAAAAUUUAUUUUUUUAGGUACUUCAAAUGAUCUAGAUUUAGUUUAACAGAAUUAAUCAUCGAUUCAAAAGUCCCAAUAUCGAGAACGACUUGGAAGCACGGAGGAUUCCGUGCUUUCAGAAGCAUACUAGCCUCUCUCUCUCUCUCUCUCUCUCUCUCUCUCUCUCUCUCUCUCUCUCUCUCUAUAUAUAUAUAUAUAUAUAUAUAUAUAUAAAAGAUUGAGCCGGUUUGAGAGAAUCGACACUCAACAAUGAUCGAUUCGAUUCAAGCUAAAAAAAAAAAAAAAUGAUCCUACUCGAUUCAAGAAAAUAAAAGAAAUGUCAAAGAUUUGAGCCGGAUGGAGAUGAAGCAGAGAUGAAGCCCACGUCCAACAAUAAAAAGGAUAUUCGCAUGCGGCAAAUUUAAGGUAGGUAUAGAUCAUCAUCCAUAGUAAAAUCAGUGGUUCCUAUCAUUAAAAAUAUUAUUAUUCUAGCUAGACUCUUUUUUAAGUCUCUCUCCCCCUCUCCCCAAAUCACCGCAUAAAUAAAUAUAUUUAACAUGCCGCCCCUCUCUUUCUUCUCUAUGUAACAUGCCUGCCUAUGAAUGAACCCCCGCACGAUUAUUAAAGCUCCUCCCCCCUCCUCGCCUCCCAACCACCGCCGCCAUGUCGAUCGCUCCCACCUCUUAAACCCUAACCCGAACCCUAACCCCCCUCUCUCUCUCUCUCUCUCUCUCUCUCUCUCUCUCUCUCUCUCACUCUCUCUCUAAUCCGCUAAUCUGAUCCGAUCUAAUCAGGGUUCGGGUUCGGGUUCGGGUUCGGGUUCGGGUUCAUGGGGUCUCGCCAUCGCCGCCGCCAUUCUCCGGCGCCGGCUCCGCCUUCGGCGGCGCGGAGGGGGUGGGUGGCGAUCAGGGUUGGGGCGGAGGGGGAGGAGCGGCGGCGGUUCGUGGUGCCGGUGGGGUUCGUGAACCACCCGCUGUUCGCGGGGCUGCUGAGGGAGGCGGAGGAGGAGUUCGGCUUCCAGCACGACGGCGCCCUCACCCUCCCCUGCCGCCUCGACCACUUCCGCCGCGUCCACGCCGCCAUCCACCGCCACCUCCCCCUCCCCCNNNNNNNNNNNNNNNNNNNNNNNNNNNNNNNNNNNNNNNNNNNNNNNNNNNNNNNNNNNNNNNNNNNNNNNNNNNNNNNNNNNNNNNNNNNNNNNNNNNNNNNNNNNNNNNNNNNNNNNNNNNNNNNNNNNNNNNNNNNNNNNNNNNNNNNNNNNNNNNNNNNNNNNNNNNNNNNNNNNNNNNNNNNNNNNNNNNNNNNNNNNNNNNNNNNNNNNNNNNNNNNNNNNNNNNNNNNNNNNNNNNNNNNNNNNNNNNNNNNNNNNNNNNNNNNNNNNNNNNNNNNNNNNNNNNNNNNNNNNNNNNNNNNNNNNNNNNNNNNNNNNNNNNNNNNNNNNNNNNNNNNNNNNNNNNNNNNNNNNNNNNNNNNNNNNNNNNNNNNNNNNNNNNNNNNNNNNNNNNNNNNNNNNNNNNNNNNNNNNNNNNNNNNNNNNNNNNNNUUAUAUUUGCAUAUAUGGUCUUUUUUUUUUUUUUUUUACCACACAAGCAUUAUUUUCGUAUUUUUUAAGUUAAAAACAGUAACUGAAAUCACCGUUUUUAAACACGUUUAUGUAAUCAACGUGUUCGUAUCCACAGUUCUUAAUUUAGAAUACAGAAUACGGUAAUUACAUUACCAUAUUUAAAUACAGUGAUUAAAUUAUCGUAUUCAAUUUAAAAGUGUAACCUAGACGCUUGCAUGGCAAGUAGAGGACUGUUUAUACAAAUAUAAAUUUAUUAUGACUAAUUUAUUUUAAAAAAAUUGAGAAAAUUAAAUACAAAAAAUUUCACAAUCAGUCAAACACAUCUCACUUUUUUAAGAAAAAAGUAUAAUAAAAAUAACUUUUUUAAUAAUCAUGAUUGAACGGAUAAAUCCAAGAAAAAUAAUCUAAUUAGUUAGAAACAUCAUAUCAGUAAUAUAAUUAGUGCAUUGUAUACUUUAUACCAUUGAGCAGCUUCCUACCAAAAUUUCAUUUUGGGUGUGAGAAAUUAUUUUUCUUUUUCUUUUCUUGUUGGAAAAAGAAAUGAAUGAUUAGUCUAAAGCUAGUUUAGAUUAUAUUGUUUUUUUAUUACAUAAUUUGUUUGCCUUAUGAGGCUUCUUUAUACCGCGGAAUAAGUUAUUAGUAAGUAAAAUAAUUUUUUUGUGUAAUUGAAAAUAAAAAGUUUGAGGUUUGUUUUUUGAAAGAUUUUAAUUGUCAUAAUUUUGUAGGAUUGUGUAUUUUAUUCAUGUGAUAAUUUACUUUAUCACAAAAAUUAGAGCUUUAAGGCUUAAUAUAAUAUUCAUUUAUAGACAUUUUAUUAUACUUUUUAUUUAUUAAAUGCUAUAUAUUUUUAGUGAAUAAAUAAAAAAAAUUGUUUCUAAUAAAAUAUUUAUGUAUUCAAACAAGACCUAAAGAGUUAUUGUAAAUUGCUGGAAUUAAAUGUUGUUCUAAAAAAUAAUUGUAUAACUUAAUAAAAUUUUGAAUAAAUUGCACUUUUUGUCCUCAAUUGUUUUUUAGAAGAGUUAUUGUAAACUUUAAACAAGACCUAAAGAGUUAUUGUAAACUUUAAUUUGUGUGUAAUUUUUUCUCGAACUUUACAAAUUAUUACAAUUAAGUCUCGUAACUUAAUUUAGUUGACCAAAUAAUAUUAAUAUUUUAAUAAUAUAAAAGUGAUAUAACAUCUUAAUUGUUAUCAUCAUGUCAUCACUUACACAUCAGCAAUGCAUCAAUUUUAGCCGAUUAAAUUAUGAUAUAGAAAUUAAUUGCAAUAGUUUAUAAAAUUUGAGUCAGAAAUUAUAAGAACUUAUUUAUAAAGUACGAGCGAGAAAUUGUAAUUGCAAAUUGAAGUUUAAAAACCAAAGUGUCACGCGCGGCAUAGUUUGAGGGCCAAAACUGUAAUUUAGCUCAAAAUAAUUUAUUGCUUCAUAGAAUAUUCUGCAAGUUAUUCUGUCUAGUGGACCAGGCUCAUCAUCAUGGAGAAUGCAUGCUUAAGGUGGCAAAAUUGGCAUUAAAAUAAAUAAUCAUAAUCAUGUCUAGACAAUAAUCACAUUCAUUUAUGAUUUAGGCUUUUAUGCUACUUUUAAUUUUAAUUAAUCAGAUCUAUGAACAAAAUAAUGGAAUUCAGCCUGGUUGAAUGUCGAAAUAAGUUAUCGUAUAAAAAUUUAUAAGUGAUGGAUUUUUUUUUUGAGAGAGAAAGAUAACAUGCUACCCGCUUCGUUUAUUUCAUUUAGAAAUAAACUUAGCUGGAAAUGUGAAUCAAUUAGGAUUCGAACUUGGGUCUCGGAUAUCAAUCACCAAGCCUUUUACCACUUGCACUAGGGACGGCCAGUAUAAGCUAUGGAUUGUUUUGAUCCUCGUAUGGCGCUGCAGUCGUGAUUUAUUAAAACAACAAAUUAUAUUUAUAAAAAAAUAUAUUUUAUUAAAAAAAUAUAUAAAACUGAAUAUUGUAUGUUGAUAUAGAAAUCCAAUCAUACUUCCCAUCUAGAGUUGACUCAAAUUAGCCUUCUUAAUUAUUUGGGAAAACUUCAAAAAACCCCAGUGGUUUUGCAUUUUUUCACUUUAAUACCCUGUGGUUUAAAGUGUAUCAAUUUAGUGUCCUAUAGUUUUAUUUUUUUUCUUUUUAUUAUCAAUUUUACUAUUUUUUUCUUAAAUCAGUGACAAAGUUAAAAUUAAAGAGUACUAAAAUGAAUAUUCGAUAAAUCUAGAUAGGUAUCUGAAGUUUUUUUGUAUAUAAUUUAACGAAAUAUUAACGAAAAAACUACCGAAAAGAUAAAAAUGAAACCACAAGGCACCAAAUUGAUACACUUUAAACCACAGAGCACUCAAGUGAGAAAGUGCGAAACCACGGGGGGGUUUUGAAGUUUUUCUUUAUUAUUUUGCUAAAUAUGAAAAAGAUUAUAAAAAUACUGGUUUUGAUCAUAAAAUGAGUUUUUUUUUUUUUUUUUUUUUUUUUUUUNGUCUCUAUUUAUAUUUAUGCUUGCAAUAAACUAAAAUCAAUUGUAAGACAUAACCUAAGUCCUUCAGUAUUGUUGUUCUUUUUUUAUUUGAAUAUCAUCCUAUAAUUUAUCUUCGAGGAUUGAGAUUAAAAAAAAGGUAAGAACUAGUUACUAUAUCUUUUACUAAACAAAUAUAUAUGUAUUGCGAGUAAUUCGCCGUUAAUGUAUUACAGAUACUUUUGUAAGUCUCGCGUGUUUAUGUCGGAUAUGCAUGUGUUCGUGUCAGAUUCGUGUCCGAUGUGGAUACUCUUUGGACGCAGGUUCAAAGCUGAUGCAUAGCACAUAUAAUUAAAAUAUAUUAUAUUUUUAUUUUAUUUUUUAUACAUAUAUAAUGUAAGGUGAUGAAUAUUUUAGCUUUUUUGAUGAACACAUACAAAUUUUUUUGAACAAUAUAAAUAAAUUAUGUAUAGUGAAGAAUUUUUUUUUUCUUAAAUAUAUGAACUAUUAAUGAAAAUUUUACUAACUUUUAUUCGUAUAAAAAAUAUAAAAAUAUUUUACCAAAAUUAAUAUUUAUUUAUAUAUAAUAAAUAUAUAUCUUAAAAUUAAGCUCCUAUACUAUUAAAAGCAUAGAGUCAUUAGUGUUUAUACAUUUUCCGCUAUUAGAUUAAAGGACUUGUUGCUGGGAUGAUAGUGCAUCCCCUAGGGUUUAAGUAAGUGGUUGGUUAAAUAGUGUGAUCGAACGGAUGAAAAUGAUUAAAGAAAUGAAUCUAACGGCAGAAAAUUUACAAGACCAAGUACUUGGUGCUUUUAAAAGCACCAUAGUCGGACUCUACGUACUAUUAUAUUAAUAUAUUAUAUUUUUUUAGCAUUAUGCACGUCGUGUUCGUGUCCUAAUUUUUUAAAAAUUACUGAAUCACCGUAUCCGAAUCGUAUCAUGUCCUGUAUAAGUGUUCGUGAUGCCUAGGUCCCAUUCACUAGCUUCGCUCUAUUUGUAUUGAAAAACAAUAAAAUUAUAGCAGCAAUCCCGGACAAUGCGUAACUUAAAAAUAUGCUUCUUUGUUUCUGACUUGACUUAUUAAUUAAUUUUGAACACAGAUGGGAGAUUAAUUAAUAGGUGUAAACUUCGACGAAGCUUCGUAUUUGUGUAUGUAGACAAAAUUCUUGAAUUUUAAGUUGCAAAAAUAGAAAUAAUCUCUUGUUAAGAUUCAAAGUCCACGAGUUCCUUCCAACUGCUCAAUACAUGAGUUAUGUAGCAAUUACUUUACGUGGACUUGUUCUCCAUCUUUAUUUUGUCCUUAUCCUAUUAUAUUUUCAUUACUUUAUUGGUUGGAGCAAGAGGAAAAAUGAGAAUAAAUCCUCUCUAGAUGUUGACUUUUGAAAAAGAUUUUGAAGUUAAUUUUGUAGUUUUAGGGAAGAAAAUAUUAAAUUAUGCAAGUGUGUGGAAAGUUAAUGUUUAUUAAACUACUGCAAUACCAAACAAAUUACUUGCCACGUUCGUUUGACUACGGAGAAUUAAAAUAGUUUUCUUGAGUUUUUCUCGUUGUUUAAACUGUUCAGAGAUUAUUGGAAAACCCAAAAAAAAAAAAAAAAAAUUGUUCUUUUGAGUAUUAUUUUCAAGCACGAAAAAGUUAUGUUAAGAUAAAAACUAGACGAUGGCAUAGUAUAUUUUCACUUUGUCGUUCUAUAAUUUAGCAUAUUUGUUGCAAAAAGUGAUAAAGAGAAUAAUACAGAGUGCGCGAAGGAAAUGUGUUUUUAAUUUCAGAUUGCAAGUUUGGCACAAUAACCUUGAAAACAAAAACAUGUAUUUCCACUCAAUUACGUAGAAAUAUUUUCAAGCAAAAAGCACUGGUAAAUAAAGCAAAGCGCUUCAAAAACUUUUCGGCACGAAAAUAAACUUUGGACCUCUUUUACAUGCAACCAACACCACCUUACACAAGAGAGAGAGAGAGAGAGAGAGAGAGAGAGAGAAUAAUGUAAAAUUAAGAGGGCAUAAACUUUAAAGGAAAUUUGUUUCAGCAAAAUAUAAGAGCAAGAGAUGACACCAUAAAGCACUAUAUUGCUCGACAAAUCUUUCAUCUGAGAUUCAUUUACACAUGGUUAUGAUGAGGAACAUCAGCAAACAAGAAUGAUCGCUCGAAAAUAACGACAAAAGACGAAAGAAAAAAAGGGGAGACGGGGACAGGGGGGGCGCAGUGUUAAGAUUUGUGAGCGCGCUAUUUGAAUAGCAUCGGCAUUUGGAAACAAUUGUAUCGAUGCCUGCACGAAUUUAGUGGUGUCUCGUGUUUGAGCUUCGUAUCGUCACACCAUGCAAGAAUUUGGUAUAGCCAAGAAAGUUCAGCUUGCCAUCCGACUUUCUGAUCCAGUCUUGCACGAUCGAAUAAGCUGUAGGACCGAGGUUCAGCUCCUGCAAAGAACAGUUUAUUACAUCCCGGAGAAUAUAGAUUCGCUGCACAAACAAGUACAGCCAAAAGGAAAUCAUCAAACACUCCCACGGUAUAGCCUAUUGUUACAUUUAUUGCCACAUAGAUUGAAAUCAUAUCGGUUGCUAAGAACACUAAAGUAUGGAUAAUUGCCUAACCUUAAUAUUUCGCUGUGUGCUCAAUUUUUAACAUUAUUUUAGUUCGCGAAAUGCUGAAAGGUAAUCAAAAAGGUGACCUGACAGUUUGUUAAGUUACUGCUUGGACUACAGGGUAUUGAAGUGAAAACUAGGCAUUAUAUCAUAGGGUUAUAAACCUAAAUUUUCUUCAUAAUUAUACGCGAGGAUGUUUCUUUAUUGAUUUAUAGUACCUGCGCCAGUUCCUCAACCGACAUAACUCGGUUGCCUUCCUUCUCAAAGUAUUCGAAUGCUGUACUUGCAAUCUGCUCCCAAUUUUCCAAAGCCUCAAGCUGAUAAGGGCUUAUUGCGGCUGCACAGAACUCUUCGAAGUCCAUCCGCCGGUAUGCAAGCGGCUCCAACUGAGGUUCAGGCCAUAAAUUUGUUAGCGCAUAUUGAUUGCUAUUAUGAAUAAUUUAAACUGGUAGUUUGAGAGACAGAGAGAAAGAGAGAGAGAUGAGGAUAAACAGGUUAGAAAACAGCUACGACUAUCACUAAUCAAGAAAUGAUAAUCUUAUGUCAUCUCCCAUGAGCUACAAGAUUUGAGAAGUCAUCCACAUGACAGUAGAUACCACAUAUUCAAACAAAUUUUCUCCUAAACAGCAUUCAGGUUGUGAAAAAAUUGAGAAAACAUUUAAGAUGCAACAAUCUCAUAAUACUAGCAAGUAGAUAUGUUUGCGGGCCAGGAUAUUAUCUGCAAUUCACAGUACCUUUUGGCAAUAAUGUAGAAAUUAUCAAGAAAUUGACACCACCUUACAAAGUGGAUAUAGAGAACAUCGAAACAGAUACGGCAAGGAGAUUUUGCGACAAACUCAUCUAAAACACAAGAUUGACAAGAGUAGUUGAAGCAACAUCAAUUAUUCAUAAACAUGUUGCUCCAUCCUACUUUCCAUAUCAGAGAGCUUAACCCUGAAGAUUAACAUAAAAUAAAUGAAAUUUUAAAUUAAAGAAGACUCUGCAAUAGUAAGAAACAUAAAAAGACCACAUAAUGGUUAAACUUAAACAACGCCUGAAUAAUAAAGGCCAUAGAAAGGAAAAUUAAGCUAUUGCAUGCAUAUAUAAUCAAGGCAACGUACUGCAUUCAAAAUGUCAAGAACCCUAGACUCUUUCAUUGCUGGUGUCGAGUUCCGAUGUAGUGCCUGCAUAACAAGAUGUAAAAUUAGAAGCCAGAUGUUGUAAUUAUUAAAGGGUAAAAUGCAUAGGCAGUCCCUGUAGCAUCCUGAUAUUGCAACUGUGUCCUUAAAAUUUUGACUUGAAAAUUUGUCUCCAAAACUCUGCAUGCAUUGCAAUUCCAUACCCCGCAUGCAAAAAAAAUCUGAUAACACGUGAUUUUUACCAACACCUUUUUUAUCUUGUUUCGAGUAUGUUGGAGUAGAAACAAGGAAGUAAUUUCACAGGACAAAUGAUCAACUAGUAAUUUUACAUGGAAAACUAGAAUUUUUUUAUGGUCAGGCUUGGAAUUGCAAUAAAUGUUCAGAGACUGAAAUGUUUAAGCAAAAGCACCAAGGACUAAGUCACAAUAUCAGGAUAAUACAAGGACUAUCCAUACAUUCUUAACCAUACAAAAAAUAAAUAAAAACCAAAAAUUCAGAACCGGAAACAAACUCCUAGAAUAUGCACUUCAUCUGCAUUAUUAUGCUUACGAGGAACAAUUGAAGGCAAAGGAAGCGCGAAAACUAACCACUCGAAAAUUUUCUAGGGAUACAUGCCCAUCUUUAUUUGGUUCAAGCAGGUUAAAUUGCAACCUGAGAUACAUGAGCUCAUUCCCCGUUAAAGCUUUAGAAAGUGCCUGUAGCAUAACAGGAAUAACAGUUAGAAAGGUGUAUGCGGUAAUCUACAUUGGCCACGUGAAGCAUCAGAGUUCACGCUAGUUAAGAUCAUAUCACUACAGGGAAUGAUCUUAAAAUUAAGAAGAAAAGGCAUUGCAUUAACAACUGACUAUAGCAUUCAAAGAAAAUUGGUGGAUUAAUUAUUAAAAAUAAGAUAGUAUGCAAAUUAGAUGAUCAGUUUCAAGAAACUCAAAAGUUUUCAAUUAUUUUGACAACUUGCUGGUCAAGUCGGUUUAUGAAAUAAUGUUACUGCAACACCCAUUGCAUUCCAUCCUCUAUCCACUUCUCCCUUACGAAUACUGUGUACGUGCAUUGGCUUCCAGAAACAAAAUCUCAGUGCUUGAAACACCACCAUCAAACCCGGGGGAAAAGUGGAAAAGGAAACAAAAGACGUUAAAAUAUCGAGAAAGCAGAAAAAUAACUAAUGCUUCAGACUAGGAUGAGAUCAAGAUGAUAAGACAACACAGAAAACUAAAGUUACUUUUGUUACUUAUAUUGAUAAUUUUAUAGCUAUUAUAUACAUGUUAAACGGAAUAGUACUAAAUGCAUCAUGGCUUUCAGUCUUUAAAAGCUAUAUUUGCAAGCUAAUAAAUAAAGCUCUGCAAUUUUUGAAAAUCCACGGAGACCUAGCUCACUACUGUCAUCUUGUAAAACAUUUACAUAUUUAUAGCGAAAGUCAUUAAUGUAUUCUCUAGCCAAACUUUUAAUUUGACCAGAAUGACUCUUCUUAUUUAACACAUACCCUUAAUGCCGCACGUUUGAGAGGUGUGGCGCGAAGAUAAUGCUUUAUUAACUUGUAAAUUAGUAAAUCCAAUGGGACUUGCUGAUGUUGAUCUCGCAACCAUGGAUGAGCUGUCACCACGAAAAAAACAUUAGUUUAAAAUACAUUAUAUGUUCAGCAAGCGGACCUUAAUUAAAUCACAGUAAACAGAAGUAAAAACUUACUAAGAGCCUGAGCAGCAGUCAUUCUUUUCCUGUAGUCCUUAUUCAAAAAUCUCUUCACAAAAUCUUUAGCUUCAGCCGAUACAGAAGGCCACGGAGAGUCGUCGAAGUUUGGAUCAGCUCUCAACACGGAACGGAAGAUUCCAGAUUCUGUCCGUGCCCAGAAUGGUCUACUACCACAUAGCAGGAUGUAUGUUAUGACACCAAUACUCCAUAUAUCCGCCUCUGUACUGUAUGACCUGUGUAGGACCUCUGGAGCAACGUAGUACGCACUUCCAACUAUGUCAUUAAGUCUUUCAUCUGCAUACAAUUAGCAAAAGAGUCUGGGAAGUUGACAACAUAUUUGAGAUAACCACAAUGCGUUAAGAAAAUUUAUUCGUUAACAAGCAAAAUAGAGCACAUAUUGAAAAGUUAAUGUUGCCAGAUUUGGAUAGCCACAAUGCGUUAAGAAAAUGAAUGGCUGAAAAUAUUGAAAAUAAUAGUAAAAUGGAUCCAAUACAUUUUGCAGUGGAAACAAAAGUUCCAGUACAUUUAUUUCAAUUAACACGAUAUAACAAUGCUAGACUCGCUGCCAAUCUAUACCAGAACAUAAGGACUUGCUUCCUAAUUGCAUGGAUCAUGUUAAUAUUCCCUUGAUUUUUCAAGUGCUCUAUCUUAAGAGUAAAGACCGAUUAAGAAGAUUCUGCUUAGAAAGACUAAGUUAUUGAUUUUCUUAAGAUCAGGCCAACUUGACUUUCUCCAAUUUAUUCAUCUAAGCUAGUUAUUCAUCAAAUAUGCUCAUAUCAUAUCCGAAAGCUUUAAAAGUAUAACUGCAUUUUACAAAACUUUAUUGCAAGUGAUAGGUUUGAGUGGUCCAGUUUGAAUAGCAACUUACUCUUUGCAAUUUCAAGCCUAUCUUUUUCAACAAAAUACUAGCUGCACCUCUAAAUCAACAUUAGAAACAAGUUGGCACUUCUGGUAAUGCUAUCCAGCAAUUUCAGCAGCAAGCUUGUAGAUAUAUAGUUUGGGCAUCUACUGGUUCCCUCUUCACAAAAUAUAUUAUUUUUACAUAUAUCUAUCUGUAAAUAAAUCCUCAUUCACCUAAAUAAUCCAAGGAAAUGUUGAAGACCAAAGGUUUUAACUGGACCAGAUCAUUUUCGAUAAAGGAAUUUUGCAUGAGGUGCCAUAAAAUUGAGUUUGGGGGUGGGGGUGUUGCACUAGUUCAUAAAGUUAACUGGGUAUGCAUGUUUGCUUUUCACCUCUGUGAUCUGCAACUGGCAUAGCAUGUUGACUGAUUUCUUUGUGAUCUACAACAGCUUUUUUUUCACUAACAGAUUGUCUUGAAUAAAUUCCAUCAAGCCUGUCUUGGCCAACAGAAAAGUACAGACAAGGAAUGAGGUCAAAGACUUAGAAUGAAUAGGUCCUUUUGGUUAGGCCUAAGUAGGAGAGAGAGAGAGAGAGAGAGUGUUGCGAGGGUGCAGUGGCACAUAGAAAUAGUUGCCAUAGUGAGAGAUCACAAUUACAAUUACAAAAAUAAUUGGAAAUAUGGAAUUAGGUUCCUAACAAGAUUAUUGGAAGUUCAGUUUGAACUGCCAUGAACAAAGGGGAUUUGAUCGGUGAUACGAAGCCUUCAUGGGUUGAUACGAGGCCUUCAUUUGAGACCAUGGAUAAAGAGACUUUAUCAAGUUAAUUUUAUGAAUAAUACUAACUCAUGCAUGCCUUCAUAGAUGCUACAUGUAUAAAAAGACUUUGUUUAGUCAGUUUCACAAACAAAACUACCUCAUUCAUGCUUUGAUGGGUGAACCAUGAAUGAGACGACUUAACUAAGUAAAUUCCACCUCAGAUAAAAAUGUAUCAUGUGGUUCGACCCCUUAAUGAGAUUAUUAGAAUUUCAAACUAAACGAAUCAAGAAAGAAUCAGAAACACUCUUAAAGAGAAAAAGGAGGAAUAUUUUGAGACAGAGAGUAGCACUCAUAUAAAAAUAAAUAUGAAAUUUUAUGAAAUUUCUUUGAACCAGGAAACCUUUUAGACACUUAUUAUAACAAGUUAAAUAACAAAAAAAAAAAAAAUAGUCACCAAUGUCACUUUAUUCAGCACCUAGUGCAUCCCUACAAGUAUUUUCUAUAAUCAUACCCAGGCAUCUAUAAGAGUUGAAUACUUAACAGAGAACAAUAUGCUUAAGUCGAACAGCUUAAAACGAAAGGAAAGAAACAUGCAGGAUCUAUUUGUAUUCACAUUGUUUACCAGGCAAAGCUGACUAGAAUUCAACCAUCCAUGUCCAGUAAUUUAAAAUAUAAGUGCAAAUUUAUAUGGAGACAACUUAGAUGCUGUGGCAAAUAUAUACACAAACACUCCACAAAAAUCAUAUCUAGGUACACCAUUUAGCAACUACAGAUCGACCUUUCAUUCUACAUCAAUACUAACAACUCUGUGUAGAUCAUCUACAUAAAAUGAGAUUAGUCCAAACUUUACAAAGAUACCAAAAUUGCAUCAUUCAAAGACAAGUGGCAAAAUAGAUUUACUCAGAAAGUUCUCAAAUUCAGUAAAGAAGGUGUGAGAUCCAUGGAAACAAGUUGAAUACUUCUUCAAAAAGGAUAGGACCUAGGAGGUUAGCUAUAUCAUGAUUAUAGCAUCUAUACUGUCUCCACUUUCCAAAUCUUGGACUUCUGACAUCCUUGCUUACGUAAGAGUAAGAUACUAUAAUGUUAUGAGAGACUCCAUUUAUGAGCACUUACAAGGAAAAAACCUUGUAGGAUGAAUCUAGGAAAUUUGUGAUUAGAAAUAAUAACAAUAGUAUGUAAAGAAACAACAAAUAACAUGUUAAGAAACUAAAUAAAGAUUGUAAGCCAAUAAGAGCUUUUUUUUUUGCAUUUUCUUCAUCAGAUUGGGCUAAAAUACAGUUAAAGUUAAUUGCUAAAAAAGAAUAGACAUCUCUAAAUUAUUCAAUUAUUACCUGGUCUUAUGAAAUCAGAAAGACCAAAAUCAAUCAACUUCAUAGGAGCAUUUUCAUCUCUCGAGGUGAAGAGAAAAUUCUGUCCACAUGAACAAAACCAUCAACAGCAGGCACACACUGAUACACUAGAAAUUAAUAUUAGUUAAGAAGAAAGCAAACGGAGGAUGACAAGAAAAUAAUUUAUUCAACAGAUCUAUAAUACAGGAAAUAGUAAGUCCAUAGAAUAAGACCUCCGGCUUCAGAUCACGAUGCACAACACCUUGAAGAUGACAGAAUGCAACAACAUUUAAUAUUUGCACUACGAUUGCUUUUGCGUCUUCUUCCGUGUACCUUCCACCUCUAUCAUAAUAGAAGAGAGAGUUUUCAAGAGAUUUCUUUGCUUGAAUAAGCAUCAUAAGAAGACAACUUGAUGACAAAGACAAAUAUACAUCCUAACAGUACCUGGCCAAAAUUCUAUCUAAUAGCUCUCCACCUUCACAUAACCUGAAAAAGGAAAAGGAAAAAAAAAAUAGAUGAAAACAUAGAAUAAGAUUACUAAAUCAACUGAUAAGAAAAACUCAUUAAUGAGUCAAUCAUGCAUGGGCUAAUUUGAUGCCAUGCCAAAACUUAGUUGUUCCUGAGUAUGUGUUUGAUCAGAACUUUUAGGAAAAAGCAGAUAAAAUGUGUAAAUAGCUGAAAAUUAUUAUCUCCACCAGCUGCGACAUAAAAUCCCAAUCAUGUUAUAACAGAUAUUCUCAUAAGGAUAAUUAUUAAUUAUAGAAAUAUCACAUUGAAGAAGAAAUAAAAAUAGACAUACUCCAUGACUAUGUAGACAUUCAAGGCAUCCUCACAUGCAUCAUGAAAUUUGACUAGAUUUGUAUGCCCAGACAGAGCUUUCAGAAUUUUCACCUCCCUACGGACAUCCUCAAUUGAAAUCGCUGUAGUCAUCUGUGAAUGACAUAAGUUAAUAGCACAGCCAAUAAGGACAACUUAGUAAAGAAGUUAUUAGAAGCCGUCAGAAAUACAAGUUGCACCACAAUUGUGAAAGAAAAGGCAUGAAUAAAACCAAAUCAACUGCACCAGUGAUGCAGCAACAUGCAAUCCUUUUCGUUGGUUUUGUUGGUUAAGUUAUUUCAAUCACUUUCUGCCAAUAUAUAUAUUUAUCAACCACAUAAUGCAAUAACCUGAAAUCCUCGUUUUUUUAUAUGCUGUUUGUCUUUAAUUAGUAAGACAUGAAACAGUACUACCAGGUCUUAAUGUGCAUCUCACUUUCUCCAUGCUAUGCCACAAUUUCCUGGUACCACAGCUACUAAAAUAUAGGUUAUUUGAUAGUUGAAGGUCGAUAGCUACAUCUCAACUAUCAAAGUGUGGACUCAUCACAGCAAAUCACGAAAGGAAUACUUGGCAAAAAUCAGAAGAAUAGUGCUUAAAAGCAUAGAUCCCAGUCAUCUUAAGAACUUUGGUACUAUAAUUAUCGGACUAACGCUUGCGAAUUUGAGUGGACAAUAAUCAUGUGGUGGGCGAAAAAUUGAUUUUUUUUUUUUCAAGCUUAUGUGACCAAAGUACUCUCUUGCUCGCUGCAGGUUUAGUAUUUGAAGCAACAAUGGACACUACUACUAAAAUAGGCAGUGUCAGCAUGUAACCCAUUUUUGAUAUGCAGUGGACGAUUUGGACUAGUCAACUUCUCUUGAGAUUCUUUUUUAAUCAAGGGUUACGUAAAUCCUCUGAAUAGUCUUUUAGUGCAAAAUAAUAAUGGAGUCAUUCACUCUAAUGGAUCUAAUUAGCUUGCUACACGUCUAAUCCAGGAAAAUAAUAGAAUAAUAAUGGGUUAAAUCGUCUCCAUGACAAAUUCUUGCAGCUAUUCUUAAGUUUACAAGCACAUGCUCUGCAGCACUUCUAGCAUAUUGACAUGCACAAAGGAGAAACCACUUCACAUUUUACACUAUCUUUUAGUUUGAUAAAACAGGGUAUCCUAUUUCUUAUUUUAGGCUAUCAAGUAAAGUAAAUCGAUCCCGAAUGGAGAUUAAUACCAAAAGGCAUAAAAUUUGGCAAUGAGAUCAAAUAGAUGUACAGAGAUUAGAAAGCCAAUUAUGACUAACAUAAGAUUAUCGCCUUAAAAACCAGUUCUUUAGCUUAGAAAUGAAACUCCCCCCCCUUCCCCCCUCUUAAUGGAGAACAAGAAGAACAAAUUAAACUAGAAAAAAAAAAAAAAAAAAAUCUAAUUUGGACAUACCACCGCACCUUAGCUUUGGAUAUGAUCUUAACGGCGACGACCUGCCCCUUCAAAUCCCCCUUCUUCACCGUGGCCGAGCACGUGUGCCCGAAAUGGCCCCUCCCCACCUCCUUCCCCAGCUCGUACUUCGCCCCGAAGUUCUUCGCGAACCCGAACGCCUUAUCCAGCGGCCGCUCCGCCUCCCCCGCCCCCGCCCCGUCCUCCGGGAUCGGGCCCUCCUUCGGCUUCGGCGCCCCCAGCCGCUUCGCCAGCGACGCCUUGAUGUGCUUCGCCGGCGACGGCGGCGGGAACGGCCGCCGGAAGAACCGCCGCGGCGUCGACGCCGGGUGCACCGGCGUCGCCCCGCCGCUCACGGCCGCGCCGGCCCCGCCCUUCCUCCUCGGCGUCGCCGCCGCCGCCGCCGCCGCCGCCGGCGGCGGCGGGGGCGCUGCGCCGUUCGCCAUGUGCGGCGGCGUCCGGUCGUCGCCGUCGCCGGAGACGGAGAUGUUCCUCCCGUGGCACUGCCCCAUCUCUACCCCCUCCCACUCUUCGAUUAGGGUUUUGGGAUCUCGAUCUCGAAGGAGUUAAAGAGGAGACAUUGGAUUGGGGGAGAAAAGAGAGAGAGAGAGAGAGAGAGAGAGAGAGGGUUCGUUAUGCGAUCGGGGUCGGGGGUGGAAAUUGAAAUGGAACGGGGGUGGCGACUGUGAAUAAAUUAAAAUCGAGGGUGUGUUCCGUAAUUUCCACCCCCCUCUUCUCCGGGAGAAGGAGAAGGAUCGGAUUUGGUGUUUAGUUUCUUCGAAAUAUUAUUUUAAUUUCAGUCCCGCUGAUCGUUCCGAGACAGGAAUUAGUCCCAAACAGGAAACAGCUUUUCACUCCCCCAGGACUGGCCACGUGGCCCUAUGUUAUUGGCCAGCAAGGGUGUCGGGUGUUCUAAGAAGAACACGUGAUUUUUCCGCGUCGCGAUUGGAGCGAAGAUUUUACCGUCAGAAACACAGCGAAUCUCGGAGUGGUUCUUUUUAGCUUUUUCCUGUUUAUUUAUUAUUAUAUUAUAUAUUUGUAAUUUAUUUUUGGGAUACAAAAAAAAAGUACAUUAGACCCUCAACUAUGGGAGCUUUUGAAAUGGACCCCUCGACUAUCUCUUUCUUUUUUUCUACGAAAACCCCUCCAACUUCUAAAAUGUUUUUUAUUCAAACAAUUUGGAUUGAAUCGAACAGUAGUUUGACCAAAUUUAAUUUAAUUACUAAGUUGUAGAACUAAUAUAUUUCGUUAACUAGUAAUGCCUGGUUAGCUAAUAAAUUUGUUCAUUGCUAUUUUUGUUUUAAAGUAAGGUUUCAAAUGUAGGCCAAUUAGAAAUGCAUUUUAUUGUUACCUUCUUUAACUACUAAUUUUCCAUUGUGUGAAAUGCAUGGAGACCACUAAACUAUAGGCUGUUUCGAAAUAGGUCCAACACCGAAAAUGUGACGCCCUGCUUUCGAAGGCUCACUCAUUCUAAGAAUAUUUUAGUUUUAACAUAUCUAAAUUUUUUUAACUUCUUGGGACUAACUACUAUUCAAAAUACUAUAAUCGAAUUAAGAUGUUAGUCCUAUUAUAUUUUAUAUAUAAAAUUGCUCCAAUUAUGAGAGUACUUUUUAAGUCAUGACGUUUUUAUCAGACUCAAGUAUACUUUCAAGCACGAAGCGAUGUGAGUCUUGUCUUGCUAGUCUUAUCACUCAAAUCUUGGUUUGACCGAGACUCAUUUCACACUACAGAAUGCUGAGCGGCACUGUUACCAAUUGUGAUGCUCCACUUUCUAGGGGUGUCAGUCAUCCUAAAACUAUUCUAGUCCUAAGAUGCUUAACAUUUUUAACCUCUUGAGCCUAACUAUACUCAAAAUAAUAUAGCCGGAUUAAGAGAUUUAAUUUUAUUAUAUCUUACAUAUAUAAUAAUUCUAAAUCUUAGGGAUAUCACAAUCCGUGCUUCCCAGCGGGAUCACUGAAAAGCACAAUUCGACUGUUUCCUGUGAAAUUGCUAUUCUGAAAAAAAAAAAAAAAAUCAUGUUACUUUCAUUUUAUUUGUUUUUCACAUGAAUUUCAAGAUAAUUAUGUUCCAUUGUUUCGAAGGAUACAUGUUGUGAGGUCAUUGGCGUAGUCCUCUCUUUUCCCAAACUAAAAUUAUAAUCAGCGUUUGUUUUAACUAACUUCUUAAAUAAGCUCUCAGCAAAAGAAGUAACAGUAGUUAUACUUUUAACAAACAUAAUUUUACGAUUCUUGUACGUAAAAUUACUUUUUGGGCUCGAAAAAGAUAAAGUUGUAUUCUUAUUACACCGUCAAUCUAUUUAAGCAGUUUCCUUAAGAUAAUUAGUACUCUUCCAACCAACUCCUCUUAAAUGUGUCUUUUUGGUCAUAGUGUUAUGCUUUGAAUAGUAUUAGAUGAUAUACUUUAUUAUAAAUCUCUCAACAACUUCUUACAGCAAAAAAGAAAGCUUUACUUAAAUGUGGUGUUAGGUGUAUCAUUUCAGUUUUUCAUUACAGUAAAAAUUUAGAACUUCAUAUUUUCUAAACAAUCGAUAGAGAAUGACUAUGGCUGGAAGUAGAAAUAAAAUUUAUAGUAAAUUAAUUCGCACUGAUUAUUUACUUAUCCAUUCUAUAUCAAACAAUUAAGUAUGCCUUUCUCUCUCUCUCUAGUUUGCUCUUUUUUUUUAGGGAAAAAAAUAUUUCUUAGUUAAAAUUUCUCUUGAUCUCUUAUUCUUAUAGCUCUAUUUUCUCAUAUCCUUAUCCAUUUGCUUAGUUAACACUAGUGACAUGAGCAAGGAAUAUUUUACUGUAGUUAGUAGUGAAUGAUGUGAAAGAUAACUUUUUGAGUCUAUAUUUUAAUUUGGAUUAACUGAACCAGUGGUCCUCAUUUUUAAGCCAAUUUUUCAUUUUAUUCUCCUAUAUACUUUGUUUUAAUCAGAUUCUUAAUUUUUAAAAUUAAUUAUACUAUUAGUUUCUAAUAUAUACCCAUUCAUUCACUUUGAUCUCUAAUCUCUUCUUCCAUAUGGACAUCCAUCACACAAGCACAAUGUCACAACCCUCAACAUUGUUCUCCAUAUCUACGAGCGCACAUGUUGCCUAUUGCUUCUUUUCGAGCAUCUGACAGUAUCGAUUUGGGCGUGAUAAUAAACCUAACAAAAAUAAAUUUAAACUUAUCAAAAAUAUUGGAUUAUUUAUCAAUAGUUAACAAGCUUGCCCAGAAACUUGAAAAAGUUAACACCAAUAUUGACCAAAAACUACCGGAUAAUGAUCAUGGAUUAUAUGAACAAGCAAAAUUUUAUUAGAGCUAGCAUAACUUAUUCUGUCAAAAAAAACUAAAAUUUGGAUGGUUGUUAUCUAACUUUAACAAAAUAUAAAGAUUAGGAAUCGGGUAAAAGCUUAGGGACCAAUGGUGCAAUUAACCCUAUCAAUUUUGAAGAAUAAUUUCUCAACAUGGAACAAAUUUGAUAGGAAAAAAAUAUACAUAUCUCUAUAUCCCUACAAUGUUGCAAUAUGGUAAAUUCAUUCUACAACAGUUUAGUUAUCAAAUAUAUUUUUCUAAACGUUUAUAAUUUUUGACAAUUACUCUUAAAUUUGACUGUUUCUUUAAAAAAUACUAGUUGUACAUUUCAAAAAGGAGAUGGGAGUCUUACAUCAUCCUAGAGUUUACAAAUCUUUUUAAUACUACAAAAAAAAAAAAACAAAACAUAGGUGCAAUAAUGAUCUUCAGAUAAUGGGUAUAAGAUUUAUACAGUUUUUGGAAUGUACAAAUUGUAUUGCUUUCCUUUUUUAUUUAAUUGAUCAUUCUAUUCUUAACUAGUAUAUUUCUAAUACUUAUAUGUAAUUUCUUACUUUUAAACCCUAAAUCCUAUUGUAUAUUUCAUAUCAUAUUUUUUAAACCCUAAAUACUAAAAUAAAUAAAUAAAUAAAUAAUUUCAAGAGCAUGAUAGUCCUAAUAUUGAAAAGUUGUCACUUAAUAGUAGUCAACUAACAAAGACAAAAUAUGCACAUUUUAGAAUUUCAAAGGAUAUAGUCACUAAACAAAAUUGUAAAUCCAUAAUUUUAGAACUUUUUAGGAUCGCAUACAUAACUUGUCCCAAUUAUUACAUUUUGGCUUGGUUCGAAUACUUUAAAAAUUGGGUAAACUUUAAAUACCAUCCUUUUGAUUUCACGCUUCUUUACUUUAAUAUCCUGUGGUUUAAAAUGUAUCAUUUUAGUAUCCCGUAAUUUCAUUUUUUGUCCUUCAGUACCUCCGUUAGCUCUCCGUUAAAUCAUAUACAAAAACUUCAGAUACACCCACCUAUGAUUUUUCGAAUAUUCACUUUAGUACCACGUGGUUUACUGAAUUUCACUUCAGUACUGUGUGGUUUACCAAAUUUUCACUUUACUACCUUGUGGUUUUAAUUUAUCACUGAUUUAACAAAAAAAUUAAUAUAGGAAACAACAGAACAAAAAAAAAUAAAGCUAUAGAAUACUAAAGUGAGAAAGCGUGAAACUAUAGGGGUAGUAUUUGAAGUUUUUUCUUAAAAAAAAAAAGAAAAACUCCAAAAAACCCCCUUGUGGUUUCAAUUUUUUUCACUUUAGUACCAUGUGGUUUAAAAUGUAUCAAGUUAGUACCCUGUGGUUUCUCACUUUAUCACUUUAGUACCCUGGGGUUUAAAGUGUAUCAAGUUAGUAUCCUGUGGUUUUGCACUUUAUCACUUUAGUACCAUGCGGUUUUAAUUUUGUAUCAAGUUAGUACCCUGUGGUUUUUUAAACCAUAGGGUACUAAAGUGAUAAAAUGUGAAACCACAGGGUACUAAAGUGAUAAAGUGCAAAACCACAGGGUUCUAACUUGAUACACUUUAAACCACAGGGUACUAAAGUGAUAAAGUGAGAAACCACAGGAUACUAAUUUGAUACACUUUAAACCACAGAAUACUAAAUAAAAAAGUGUGAAACCACAGGGGGGGAGUUUUGAAGUUUUCCCAAAAAAAUAUAGUGCUUUGGACCGAGCAGCAAUUUAAUACAAUGAAUAUAGAGGAAUGCUUCCAUACAACACACUCAUUCAAAUCCAACCAUUAAUUAGUGAAGGAUAUGAUUAACUUUUAAACAUUAAUAACCUGCUAAACAGGUCACAGAUUUAGACUAAUCAUAAGGGUAAUAUUGGUAAAGAACUAGUAGCUAAUUAUCCUUGCCAAAUCUAAUAUUACCCUAUAAAUAUUUAUUUUCUUACUUAAUUUUUUUAUUUACCAAAUUAAAUAGUGGCUAAUUUGUUAGGUAUCCAACUUGAAAAAAUAUACAUUAAAGUUUGAAUUCAAAAUUUAAAUCUAAUUUACAUUUUGAUUUUGAAAUAUAAAUGCAUGUUUUUGAAUUUGAAUUAGAAUCUAAAUUGUACAUUUAACUAUAAAACAAAAUUUUAAUUUAAAUUAAAAUUGUAAUUUUGAAUUCGAAUCAAAAGCUUGAUAUUAAUUUGUAUUUUGUAUUUAAGAAAAAAAAUUGAAUUUGAUUAAAAAUUCAAGCUUUUGUGUUGUUUAAAUAUUCAAUUAACAAUUCAAAUUCAAAAUAUAUUAUGCAUUUAAAUGUAAAUUUUUUAUAUUGAAAAUUAAAUUCAAAAUUAAGAUUUGAAUUUAAUUUGUUCUAUUACUUAUAAAAACCAAAUUUUAAUUUAAAUUGAAAUUCAGAUACUGAAUUUGAAUCAAAAGUUUUAUUGGAAUCUCUAUUAUAUAUUUAAGAAAUUUUUUGAAUUGAUUCAAAUUUUAAAUUUAUAACUUAUUUCAAUAUUGAAUUAACAAUUCAGAUGUAAUUUGAAUUCAAAUUCUCAUUAAAACGUUUUUUUACACUUCUAAUUGGAAAAGACUUGAGUGGAAGCUCCCGAAGGAUGAAUCAUUUGGGAGCAUCAAUCCGUCGCCUAUUUUUAUUUCUAUCAAAAGGUUAUAAUCUUUCCUUCUAGAGUUUUUUUUUUUAAUCUUUCCUUCUAGAGGAGUUUUUUUUUUGUUUUUUUGAAUUUUAGUAGUGAAGAAUACCAAACCUAUGAUUGGAUAGAGACAAAAUUAACACGUGACAGCAAAUGUGACACCCCUAGAAUUUUGAAUAAUUCUACACAUAAAUAUAAUAGGCCUAAACCUCUUAAUCUGGUUAUAGUAUUUUAGGUGGUGGCUAGAUACAAAAGAUAAAUAAUAUUAAGCGUGCUAAAAUUAGAGUAGUUAUAUAUGACCUACUGAGAAGCGGGGUAUCAAAGUUAGUAUCAGAGCCAAUCACUAACUGGAAGUAUGAUAUGAGUUUUGGUUGAGCUAAAGUUAUACAGCAGGUAGAACGCGGUUUUCCGACUGACGAUUGUUAUUGGUCGAGCGUGACUUUCUACAAAGUUAGCUAAGGCUAACGAAAGGAGUCUCAUAUUGUCUGAUACUUGUGAAUGUGUUUAAGCCUAACGAGGACGUCAGGACUCAUAGGAAAGAAAAAAGUGCCAUCCCCUAAGAUUUGGAAUAGAUUUAUAUAUGGGAUAUAAUAUUAGUAAAUCUUUUAAUCCAACUAUAAUAUAGUAAUGGUUAGAUUCAAGAGAUCAAGAGUGUAAACGUGCUAAAGCUACACGAGUUCUAGAAUGAUUAACCCCCUGAAAAGCGGGCAUCGCAGCAGGGGCUUGCCACGAGGCGCUGUUGAGGAGCUCCGAAGUUUUAUCCCUGCUAAUAUGGAUGUAUUAGAUUCAAAAUAGAUUUUGUUCGAAAGGUCCAUAAUGCCCGCUUUUCAGGGGCUCCCCACGAGGCGCUGUUGAGGAGCUCCGAAGUUUUAUCCCUGCUAAUAUGGAUGUAUUAGAUUCAAAAUAGAUUUUGUUCGAAAGGGCAAAUCCUAUUUUGUUGCUGAGUGAUCAGUGUCGGAGGCUUUAAUUGCUGGUCCCCACAAACUCUAAAGAGCAUGUUUGGUUCACAGUAUUUUUUUUCAAAUACCUGAAAAAUGAGAUUUCCGUAUGAAUUAAAAAGUUAUGUGGAAUCUUAUAAUCCUUUAAAACAUAAAAUUUAAAAAACUCACCUACUCCCUCAGAAAUUAUUUUCCAAAAAAAAUUAAUUUAAAAAGACCAAAACGUCCUUGUGCAAAUUGGAUAUUUAAAUAGAUUAUACAUUCAAAUAGUUAUAGAUUUUAUAUGAUUAAUGUGGUAUAAAAUAAUAUAUAUGUAUAUAUUAUUAUUAUUAUUAUUAUUAUUAUUAUUAUUAUCCCCAAAAGAGAGUAUUGUAGUAAUUUUAUUGAUACAGUUAGGUAAUUUUUGUGUUGAAUUAAAUGCAAAAAUAGUAUAUUUCUUUUCAUUCUAAAAUAUAUACCAAAUAAAAAUAUUUCUACUAGACAGGAGAAAAUAUAUUUUUUUUGAAAAGUUAAUUUUUAAUAAAAAUUUAAAUUCCAUGAACCAAAAGGCCCUGAAUGGCUCUGAUUUGAAUAAAAAAAAUAAAUUGUAAGCAUCUAAAUCUUGUGCCGAAGCAUGACAAAUAAAUGUAAAGUUUAGUACACAAAGUUAUGAGUUUAUGUAGCUAGAUUUGUUCUAUAUAUAUUAGUCAAACUUUAGUACUAUGGUAAUUAAAUGAUUUGUCAUUUAACUUUUCCGUACAUAAUAGAAGAGUUCACUUGAUACAAAACACCUUUAAAUGCAAACAAAGCUUUUUUUUUAAUGAAUGAAACUUAUUGGAUCUAGGAAUGUCCAUGAGUACGGAUACCUAAAAAUUUAUCCGAAUCCGAAUAAAAAUGAAAUGAAUUUUAUCUAAUAUUAAAUAGAUAUAGUUCUGAAUAUGGAUAUAAAAAACAAAAAUACUACGAAUUUGGAUUCUAGUAUAAAUUUUGUCUCUACCCGACAUGAACCCGAAUUGCUUUUAUAUUAUAUAAUAUUUAUAAAUAUUUAAUGUUAUAUUUGAAUUUAUAUCUUAAAAAUUUAAAUUUAAUGUAAUAUAUAUUUGAAAUAUGAUAAAAAAAAAUUAUUAUUUCGAGUCGAAUUAUAGAUUUGGAUAUAGAUUUUUAAAAAUUCGUUCCGAAUCCAACUGAUUGACAUCCCUAAGAGGAAUGCGGCAGGUUUUGAUUGGACAUGAAGACCGCAUUUGAUUCUCGAAACUCGAUUCGGUGAACUGUAGCUCGUUUCACAUUCAAAAUUAGAUCGGAUAGAAUAUUAAAUGGUUGAGUAACUUUGAGAAUUGAUAUACAAUCGAUAGAACGAUGGAAUGGAAAGAGUUUCGAAUGCAAUAUUUGGCCCCAUUUGAUUCUCCUCCUAAUCUUCGACACCAUUUUAAUUGUGUUUAACGAUGCUGAUAGGAAAUUUAGAUGAUUCGUCGUCCGAAACGACGUGAAAGUAAAUAAUUUUAUUUAUUGUAGUUUGCAGAAAACAUCCUAUCACAUCAUAUACUAUAAUAGAAUUAGGUUAUAGAGACAUAUUUUUAUGAUACUUUUGUAUAAAUAUUCUAUUUAUGUUAAAAAAAAAAUUUAAAAAAAUUCACUAAGGCUUAAAUAUAAAGCUCAAUCCAACCAAAAAUAAAAAGUUUCUCUACUCAAUCAACCCCACCUAGCCACUCAGUCGAUUGCAAAUAGAAAAGGAAAAAAAAAAAAAUUUGAUCACCAUCUUCCCUUCUCCUCCUCCACUGCAGCAGCCGAUAAGGUGGGGCUCCGGCGGUUGGAGUUUGACCGCGAGGAUCUCACAAGAACCGUAGAGGGCUACGAUCGCCACGUGUCCCUCCGCCACAGGUCGCUGGAGGAGUAGGUGUCAAACAUCGAGAUAGCCUCACAUAUAGCGACCCCACAUAUAACAGUACUUUUAAAAUGUAUCGGUAAUUUAGACAGCCACACUUUUUUUUAAUCUGUACCAAUAUUUAAAACGUGUCGUUAUACAUCGUUUUUUGUUGUAAAGGUAAUAGUUAGUUAAUCUACAAUUGUUUAAAAUCCCCAGUUAAUGAGUGGUAGGGAUUGGAAUCUAUUACCUAUAGCAAUGGGAUUAUGUGAGCUACAUUUGACUAAGGGUUAGGUCCAAAUUGAAACCCUUAAAAUAUAACAAUGCACAGUGCUCCACACCCAAGGGUCAAAGUCAAACCCUAGAAACAUUUAUUUAAAGUGUCCAUCACACUUGUAUCUCGUGGAUCAAGUAAAUGCAAUUGCUUCCUCUACUAUCAUUCCUUUUCAAUUUUCUAAGUUUAAUUUAUUUAAAUUCUGUAAAAAUUUAUGUAGACCCCUCAACUAUAAGAUAUUUCAAAAUGACCUACUCAACUUUUUUUUUUCUUCUAUUAUUAAACUUUUGACUUUCUGAAAUCAAAUAGUUUUAGUCAAAUAAAUUGAAAAUUCUAUUACAGUCAUUGAUAAUUCUAUUAAAUUUUAAUAUUUUUAUUAUUUUCAAAAAAAAAAUUGAAACAAGCGAUGAUUAGUACCUAAUAGAGCUAUUUUAUUUUAUUUUCAAUAAUGAACUUAAUUAGCUAACUAUCAUCAAAUAGAUUAAGGAUUUAUCGAAUACAUCAAGGAUUCUAUUAAAUUUAAUAGUUUUAAUCCUUUUCUAAGCAAAAGAUCAAAUUUAACAAAAUUUUUAACUUAACUACCAAAGAUAGCUCAAAUGAAAAAUUGGAAAUUAUAAGGUAUUAAUAGAAAAUUGGUAAAUUUAAGGGUCUAAGUACAUUUUCACCUUUAAAUUUUAAUAUCAAUUUGAUAUGGCACAGAGAUUGUAGGUUUGAUACAUAAAGCCUUGAGGUCCUACAUACAAUGCAACGUUCCAUAGGAAAAAAAUAAAUAAAAUGAAAUAAUGGAUUUAUUUAUUUGUUAGAGAUAAUAACACUCCAUGAAUGAUAAUUUCUUGGUUAUUUCUUUCAAAUAAUUCUCUUGUAAAAGAUGAGUUUGUACAACGACUUGUAGUUGAAUUAAAAAGAAGGGAAAACUUCAACUACCAUCCAUAUGAUUUCACACUUUCUCACUUUAAUAUUAUGUGGUUUAAAGUGUAUAAAUUUAGUCCUGUGGUUUAUUUUUAUCUUUUUAUUAUCAAUUCCACUAAUUUUUUUCGUUAAAUCAGUGACAAAGUUAAAAUUAAAGGGCACUAAAGUAAAUAUUCGAUAAAUCUAGUUGGGGUAUCUGAAGCUUUUUGUAUAUAUUUUAACAAAAUAUUAACGAAAAAGCUGACGAAAAGAUAAAAAUGAUAUCACAAGAUACUAACUUGAUACACUUUAAACCACAGCGCACAAAAGUGAGAAAGUGCGAAACCACAUGGGUAGUGUUAGAAGUUUACCCUAAAAAGAAACUUUGCAAAAUAUCCUCACUUGAUUUUGAUUUUAAUUUUUUUAGAUAAAAAGUCAAUGCCUCUAUGUAGUGAAAAAAAUUUGAAGGAACCGUCACCACGCGUCACUUUUAUCUUAUUCAAUUAUUAUAAUCUUUUUCUCUAGAGCUUAAUUUUGUUUUUUGAGUUUUAGUAAAAAGAUAUCAACGAAGCAUCAUUGGUGAGCUUCCACUAAAAUUUUAUCCCUAUUUACCGACCGUCCCUAGAGCAAGUGGCAAAGGGCUUGGUGGUUAGUACCCGAGACACAAGUUCGAAUCCUAAUUAAUUCACAUUUCCAGCUAAAUUUAUUUCUAAAUGAAAUAAACGAAGCGGGUAGCGUGCUACCUAUCUCUCAAAAGAAAAUUUUAUCCCUAUUUGAUAGCAUAGAGCGGAGAAAAUUUAUAGUUCUAUAUUAAGGCCGUGAUUGACAAUUCAAUUCUACUAAUAUCAUAGUUUAGUGUGCGUUUUUUAGCCAAAACUCUAGCGGAAAAAACAAAGGAAAAAUCCUUUGCGUACCCCUCCGAUUCCAAAGUUAAGUUAAUAAAUCAAAUUUCUAAGUUAAGAAAAAAAACAACUAAACUAUCAAAUAUUUGUCUUGUAAAGAUUAGAAAGUUGACUAAUGAACUGUAAUUUGACAAUGAGAUAAUAUUUUUGUUCCAUUUUACUCUACAGGGGAAAGUUCGUUGUCAUAUUAAUAUGGAGAUGAAUUGAGUUUGGUGAGCAUCAUUGCAGUUUUUGUCUUUUUAAAUAGAAUUUUUAAAGGACAGAAUAUAAGAGAAAAUGAUAAGUUGCUUGCAAUUCUUAUAAGUAUAUCUAUUUGAAUAUAUUUAUAGAGUUCCGUUAUGAUACUUUUAAAAGCAUAAAAGCUCAAUUAUAUUAUAAAAAAACUUAGUUUUUUUUUUUUUGUGCUUUCAAAUUUUCUUUAUGAUAAGUUGAUUUAUAUUCUUAUAAGUAUAUCUAUUUGAAUAUAUUUAUAGAGUUCCGUUAUGAUACUUUUAAAAGCAUAAAAGCUCAAUUAUAUUAUAAAAAAACUUAGUUUUUUUUUUUUUGUGCUUUCAAAUUUUCUUUUUAAGAAAUUGUUAUGCAUUAUUUGGGAGAGAUAUUUUAUAAGCUAAUAAAUCAUGAUAGUAAAAGAGAAGUUCUUCAACCCGCAUAUUAAAUGAUAUAGAAUCAAUGUUUUUAAAAAAUAAAAAUAGUAAUGAUGUACUCAAACGAGACUAUUAUUUUUCUCUUUCAUUUUUUACAUUAUGUCAUAUAUUUAUUUUAUAAUGAUAAUUAGCAAGUACCAAAUUACUCUCCAAUUGUCACGGCCAACCAAUUAUUUUUCUCUUCUCAUUCUACGUACCUUUCCUCCAAAUAUCUAACAAUAACUACCAAGUAAACCUUCACUAACUACUUUGUCUUUGUAGGUUUCAGUAUUACGUCUCUUUUGCCUGCUACAAAAGGCGUCUAUUUUUUUUUUUCUAUUGUUAAAUAUUCUUUUAAGGAUCUAUUUAGCCUAACUUAAUUUUCUCUUGUAGAUGAUUAACCACCAUAGAACCAAGCCAUCGGUAGCUACAUUUGCUAUUACAGUGCACUCUUUCAUCGCAGAAUAUUAUGUUGUUUGCAGUACUGGUUGCGUAGUUGAAUUUUUUCUGUACUGAGAAAAUUAUGUUCUUGAGAUUACAUUUGUCAGAAUAAGUUAAUGAGUGAUGCUCGAACUUGCAUCCUUUACAUUGUUAAACAGUUCAAGGGAGAACUCCUCUCUAUCGUUGCGAAACGCAUCUGACCAGAUUGUCCACAACAAAGCGGAACUACGCAUGCAACUUCAUUGAUCAGCACUCAACACCUUCUACGUACAUAGAUCCCCAUGCACGCAUGCAAUCCGGAAGACAAGCACUGGGACUUCAUCGAGCGACAGAUAGCCAAUCUGCCUUUGUGGCGGCACUCCCAGACGAUCGAGCUCGAUCUGAGAUGUGCUUUUUAGCAUGAUCAGAUAGUGCAUCACCUCGGUCCAGUACUCUAUACUUGUGAAUAAUGAAGAAGGCAAUUGCUUCUCAUAGUCUAGGGUUAUCAGGCAAGGAUGUCCUCAUUCACCUUACAUUUUUAUUCUCGCGACCAACGUAAUGUCACUUCUGCUAAAGGAAUCUAUUCAGUCCGGUUUAGUGGAAGGCGUAAAACCAUCAAGGUCGGGUCCGACAAUCUUGGAUGUCUUAUUCGCCGACGAUAUAUUUAUCUUUGGGAAUACGACUAGGGGUGUAAACGAGCCAACCAUGAGCAGCUGCGGUCGGCUCGUGUUCGCCUCGUUUAUUAAACGAGCCGAAUACGAGCUGGCUCAUUAAAGUAUCGAGCCGAAAAAUCAGCUCGUGUUCGGCUCGUUUAUUAACGAGCCGAAUACGAGCGCUCACGAGCUGGCCAACGAACAAUAAAUUAAAAAAUUAGAUUAAAUAUAUAUAAAAAAUAAAUUAUAAAAUCUUAUUAUUAGACUUUGAUCUAAUAGUUAAACUUUACAUAUAAAUAAGUUUUUUUAUAAUUAAGCUCGUAUUUUUAUUUUUAUUUUGCUAAAAAUUAAAUAAUAAAAAUAUAUAUUAUAUAUAAUUAUUUAUUAAUAUAAAAAUAAAAUUAAAUAAAUUAUAUAAAUAUAAAAUAUUGUAUUCGAGCUGUCAUCGAGCCCAACACGAGCGAGCUGACCCCAGCUCGUGUCGGCUCGUUUAUUAAACGAGCUGAAAAAUCCAGCUCGUGUUCGGCUCGUUUACUAACGAGCGAGCGAUUUCGAGCUCAUUUCGAGCCGAACACGAGCUGUGCCGGGGGGGCGGGGGGUAUCGGAACAGACUAGCGCAGCUGGAUUGCCACCCCUAAAUACGACUAGUCAAUAAACAAUAUUAGGCUAACAGAUACACUUUCUCGUUUCUAUAAUUUGGUAAUCGACUUCAGUUUUGAGCUUUCGACUCGUAGACAGUUUCGUGGUGCCAUGGAUUUUGAAAAAUUGAAUUACGAAGGGAAAAUGAUUGUCUAUGGUAGGUAGCGAAGGGCUCGGACCGAUAGACAAUAUAUCGAUCAUUGUACUCAGAACAUUGCAUUCCCUUUUCUCUGUAAAGAGUUUUUUAUGUAAAUUCUGUGUGUUCUUUUAUUUUCUGUUUGUGAUUUGUCUACUUAGUAUGACAGAACUUCACGGUAACAGGUGUUAUCUAAGUAAUUCUCUAUUCUUGAACCUUUAUCGUACCUUUCGCUUCAUCACCGACAAAAUACAAUCAUGCUUGGCAGGAUGGAAAGCUCGGAGCUUGGCUAAUAACAUAAUUAAUUUUAAAAAUUGGAUGAAAAUUGGGGACCAUUAAUGGUUCAAUUAAUCCUAAUUAAAGUAUAGAGCUAUGAUAUGUGCUAGCUUUAUCAAUGCUCAAAAGUUACACCUUUUACAUCAUUCACUACUAACUACAGUAAAAUUAAUAUUCCUUGCUUUUGUGUCCCUAUUGUUAUUAAGCAAAUGGAUAAGAAUAUUAUAAAAAUAGAGUUACAAGAAAAGGAGAUGGAUGAAGAGAAAUUCCAUGAUCUCAUCUCUAAUUUUAGCUGAGAAAUGUUCCUUUCCUUCAAAGAAAAACAGCUUAGAGAAACAAUAUUUUAAAAUUUUGAAUUUUUGCUACCAUAAGAAAUAAUAUUUUAAAAUCUGGGUCGAACAGCAACCCAAAAAUAUUAUUGGGUCAAGGACCACUGGUUGAACCAAUAACUUUUGUGCGACGUCAUAAAUAUUUAAUCAUUAUUUUAUUAUAUAGAAAAAAUGUACAUACAUAUUAUGAUUCUAAUAUCAUACUAAUAAUAUUAUAAAAUACUGAUUUCUAGACUAAAUUAAGUAGAUAUAAGUUUUCAAGCUUCACUUUUUGUAAGACUAGUAUGUGCUAAUAAAAAAUAAAGUUAGCUAAGUUGAUUUUAAUGCAUUGAAUUUUAACAUGACUUGAUCAAAGAAACCCGACCUGUUUGAUUAAAAUCGGAUCGGUUUACUGGUUGGCUGGCUGAACUGUCGAUUCAAAUAAUUCGAAGCGGUUUUUAGACUUAUUCAAUUCAAAGAAUUGAACUAAAUCGCUUUAUGGACUAGGUCAUAGUAGGACCGGUUAAACUAGACGAUUUUACAAGAUUUUUAAAUAAGGAAUAAUUUCAUACAACUCUUUGCUAGUGUCUGAUAGAAAAGUAUAGUUAACCAUAGAUAAAAUACUUAACCUUGGUUGGUGAGUGAGAUUUUUAAUUAAUAUUUUUACCCUUCUGAUAUUAUACCUUCUUCUCUGAAUUAAAAUCCAAAUUUGAUUAAAUCCUUGGAAAUGAGAACUCUUUUUGAUCUUCCUCUUUCUCUUUCUCUCUCUCCUUCAUGCUAGUUUCAAAUCUGUAACUAGAGUUUUUCCGUCCCUAUUCAUCCAUGCUUUGCCCAGUAAACCAUGAAUACGCAAAGUACGUAUAACAACUAUUUUGUGGGCUCUAGAAUAUAAUCUCUUCCCUCUGCUGCAAAAGAAACCUAUUUUUUUGAUUGCUAAAUGUUUUUAUAAGGACCUAUUUAGCCUAGCUUUAUUCUUGUGGUGAGAUUAGUCACAAUAAAAUCAAGCCAUUUAGCAGCUAUAAUUUACCAUUAUAAUGCAUUAUGCCAUCUCAAAAAAAUUAUAUUAUUUGUGGUAGUUGCAUAAUUAAAGCAUUAUGUACUGUAGUACAAAUUUUGACAAAAAAAUGUCCUUGAGGCUCUAUUUGCCGGAAUAAGUUACUGUAUGAUAAUGUGUCUGGCAUAAAAAUUUUCACUACUAUUGGAAGAUAAAAGUUUAAUUUUUACACUUUGAAAAAAUGACCUGGAACACAGAAAAUGGUAUGCUAUGCUAGAUAUUUUAUCACACUCAUCUUUCGAUUACUAUAAUCUUCUUGAGUAAAUCAAAAAAAUAAUAUUGAACAAAACGAUUUUGUAUCCAAAUAGGGCGCUUUAAAUCACACUCAAGCUUGAGUAGGAGCCUAUUUGGUAUUUAGGCCCGUCUAAGACUAAUAACUUAAUAAGCAAAUAGAGUUGGUGUAAAAUCAUACAGAGACAUCCUUAUGUAUUUUUCUAUGGGACCGGAGAGUUACGAUAUGUGAAAUGUGAUGUGAUAUUACGUAUGUAAAUAAAUAACGUAUAUUUUUUCACCGUAUAAUGCAUUCUUUCCGCAAUCCCAAAUGAGGCUGUUUGCUUAUUCAAAAAAGCGUGAAAAAAAAGUUUUCCCACAUUUUUAUUUUAUUUUAUAUAGAAAUGCUUUUUCCAACUUUUCACCCAUUCGGUUUGAAACAAAAUAAUACAUGUUUAGAAAAAAAAUUUUCCAUAUUUCAUAGAAACUAGCAUUUUCAUUUCUUGAUUUGUUUUUUAAGGAAAACGAAAACCAUAGUUUUUCAUAAAGAUAUAGAAAAAAAAAAGUUUUUCAUAAAAGUUUGUUUCUCUCAUAACCAAACAAACGGAGAACUUGAAAAACAUUUUUUCAUGAAAACUUUUUUUUGAAUUUAUUUUACACUUUUUCGAAAAAUCAAACAGUCUCUAAAUCGGAGAAAUGUGGCGAACAACAUGCUCAUGCAACCCAACUGGGCUUAAAUCCGAACAGGGUAGUUGCAUAAUUAAGGCCCCUCAACAAUGAAGCCCAAUGGGCCCCAUAAGAAAACAAAAAAAAAAAAAAAAGUAUAGAAUAGUGAGGACUUUUUUUUUGGAAAUAACCCUAUAAAAUUUUUUAAUUAAAUAAACAACCCUAUAAAAAAAUUGACAAACUAGCUCUUCUUUUACCGUGUAGAAGCCAUGGUAAAAUGUUUCUUAAAAACGAUAAAUCCUUUAAAUAAUUUACCGUCUUUCUAAUUUUUUACAAAAAGUAGUAAAUUAUUUACCGUCUUUCUCUCUCUUUCUCUUUUUAUUUUUUUUUUAUUUUUCAUUGGUAAACGAUUCACCAUUUUUAAGAGAAAAUUUUACGGUACCUCCUAUAUGAUAACGAAGGGUCAUUUAGCCAAAUAUUUUUUUAAUAGGGUCAUUUAGCUAAUUACAACAUUUUCUAGGGUUAUUUCAAAAAAAAAGUCCGAAUGGUGAACACAGUGUGAAUUGGCAAUUAUCCGAUGCUUUCGCCUCAUUGAUAUCUUAAUAGAUCGGACGAAGCGGUGGUGGUGGUGGUGGUGGUGGUGGUGGUGGUGGUGCGAAACAGCGGCGGCGGCGGAGGGAUGAGCAUGUCGGCGGCGGGGUAUUUGGCGCGGCGCGCGGCGCAGAAGGAGCGGGUGAUGCUGCUCUACCGCCGCGCGCUCAAGGACACCCUCAACUGGGCCGUACACCGCCACAUCUUCUACCAAGACGUAACCCUAACCCUAACCCUAACCCACCUCUUCCCCUACAUCUCCAUCUCUUCCUCCUCGUCAUCGCCACUUGCCCUGAUUCGGCGCCGAUCGCUCGCCCUGGUGUGAGGGUUUCGGUCCUCGGCGGGAAUCGCGAUCCGGGAUUUGAGUUGGAUCGGAUUUUGGGUUCGAUCGUUGCUGAUUUCGGGGUAAAGGUGUUGAUUUGUGGUAGGGAUUGGGUUUUAGGUUAGGGAAAGUCAAAAAACCUUUAUUCAUCUGCAUUGGCAACGUAUGUGGAAUGUGGUUUACUAAGAGCUAGACUAGUUAUUGUGAGUGGAUGGCUAGCAAAGAAGCGAACUUGCUGAAUAUAUGCGAUGGAUAGCGCAGUGGUGGGUUUUAGUUGGUUUCUUUUAGGUCCUGAAUGAAGAAUUUUGAGCAUUAUAAUGAGACAAACUUUCUCCUUUGUGUGAGAUGCUUAUUAAUUACCAAAGAAUGAUCAAUGUGCUUGUUGUAGAUUGAUGGUAGAUAUAAUUCUUUUGUUAAGUAAAGAUUUAACUCGUAACUUUUGACUUUGUGUGGGAUGUUUAACUUUUUUAGUUUUGCAAAAAUUGCAGUUUGUCCCCAUUUUGACUGAUGCGAAUGAAAAGAUGUCUUUUUUGUUAUUGUAUAGUGAGCUUAUAAUGGCAAGCUUUUGAAGAUUAGAGAAAUGCUUAUAAUGUCUUUGGAGUGUUCUGCCGAUGGUUAUGCUAGCUAUUCUUUUGGUAAAUGUGAUGGUGUUAAACUAGGCCUUUAUCUCUUAACCGGUGUUUGUCAUCUUGCCACUGGAAGUUGUGCUUCUUAUGGAUAACUGCUUCUCACACACAAUUAUGCAAUUUGUUUUGGUCUUCUUUUUUUCCUUUUUUUUUCCGUAGAAUAAUAUUUUUUCUGCAUCUUCAUGUGCUGCUUGCUGUUCAUACCCAUCCUACAGGUUGUUUCAUAGGUUAGGUUGGUUUGAAGCACAUUAGCCUAUAGACUUGAUUAAUUUUUUUUUUUAUAAAGUAAGAUGUAUUAGUAAUAUAGUUUUGGAUGUUCUUCUUUCAGGCAUCAGAUCUACGAGAGAAGUUUGAGGCCUACAGGCAUGUGGUAUGAUCUUUUUUCCAGCUAAUUUUAAACUUUUAAUUGAUUGUUGCUAAGGUUGUUUGUGCAGGAGAACACCUACUUUAUUCCUGUUUCUUUGUUAACUUCUGAAAAUUGUAUUAUCGAAAGAAACAUCAUAUAGAAACUAUGAUAUUUAUCUUCAGUGUCCCUAAAUAAAUGUAAUUCAUAUAAUAUAUGCAUCUUGUUGGAUACAUUUUAUUAUUGUUUCUUUUACUUUGCUUCUAUUAGUUUUAUUUGUGUUAUUUUCCUCUUUGGAUUUCUCGGGCACUUUGUUUGAUGAACUUCAAUUAGAUCUGUUGCAUAUAUGGUUGUAGACAAGAGCAUAUUAUUCAAAAUUGAUUUGAAUAGAGAAUUUGUAUUGUUUAAAAUUUAAAAGGGACAUAAUAGCUUCUCUUUUUUUUCCUCUAUAUUCUUUUCCUCGUUAAGUUUUGUGAACAGAUUGCAUAACAUGGUGCAUCAUGUUCAGUUUUUUUCGUAUGUUAUGGCUGGCAUAGAACCGUUAGAAGGAAAGAAACUGAUGUAUAUGUGUUCAUAUUUGUUUUUUAAUUUCUGAAAUUUGGUGAAAUUUUUCAGGAGGAUCUAGACACUAUCGAUAGGCUUAUUAGUGAGGGCGAAGCAACCUAUGAGAAGUGGCGGCACCCUGAUCCUUAUAUUGGUUAGUAAAAAACUUAUAGAUCUUUUUAUGAUCCGAGUCUUGCGUGUUUUUAUUCAUUAUAUAAUACGAUGGAGUUGAAUAUAUUACUGGGUCAUUUAGCUCAUGUAACUAAUUAGGAUAGAAAGGUAGUCUCCUUGAUUUCUUGCUUUCCCUAAUGCAUGCUGAGGAGUUUACCUCUCUUCUCUCUCUUCAUCAUAGACUUUGUUAUAUAAAUGACAAGCAUUCUUUAGACUGUGGAGACUCUUAGCGUAUCUUCGUUGGAGACAAUCAGAAAAGGGAAUCGCCUAAUCCUAAUCUCUUUAGUAUGAAAAAUUGGCCGGGUCAUACCCUCAUAUUGCUAUUCUUUAGCAUUGCUUCUAUUCUUAUUUAGUUGUGAUUUGGAAAUUCUUGCAAAUAUAAGAAGUGGCAUACUUUUCAAGCGCUAAUGUUAGAUUAUCAGAUGUAGAAGCGAGAAAGCUUCUCUCAUUUUGGAUAGUCCCAUAUUCCAAUCCCUUUCUGUUAUUCUUAUGCUAAUCCAAACAACAAAGGGCCACCUUAUGCCCCUCAAAAUUGUUAUUGUGUUUUUUACCCUCCUUGUAGCAAAUCAUGUUUCAGCCUUGUUUCCCAACAAAUGAGUGCUUCUUUCUUUUGUUGCAUUUUCUUAUUCUUUCACUGCUCUGUUGCUUCUCCUACACUUCAGCAAACAAUCCGCUAGCUCAUCUUGUCCUGUGUUCUUGUACAAGGUUGCCCUUAAUAACUUGAGAUGAGAUGAACCUAUAUUCAUUGUUGUUAGGGAUUACUUCAGAGAGUCAAAAGGACAACUUGAGGAUUGAAAGUUCAUGCAGUCAUAACAUGCCUUUUGAAAGUAUAGACUAAGGACUUAUUUGGUCCAGUUCCCUUUUUUGGCUUUUUCGAACUCAAAUUUUAUGAAAUGGAGUGUUCCACACCAAAGGAUUGUUUGUAAUUUAAUCAUCUGCAGGGUUUAUUUGGCAACAGAAAACAAAAAUUUACUAGUAACUUUUGCCACUUUUUUCUUUGUCUUGACUGUAACUUAUUCUGUUGUUUUCUGUAUAAAAGAUGACUUUGCAAGUUAACCAACCAUAACAAAGAAUAGAGAAGUCCAUCCUCUGGUACACUCCAUCCCAUCCACCUGCACUCCAUCUUAUAGAAUUUGAGUGUGGUCUAAAAAUUUGGCAAUUUGGACAAUAGAAUGGACUUAUACUCAAAAUUAACUACAAUUUGAUGCUUAGGGUUAACCAACCACAAUUCACUUUUUUCAUGGCCAACAUGGGCAAUAUUUUGAUAGAUCCAUUUGUGAUAUAGAAUUUAACGCGAUUUUGAAUUAACAGACACGACCUUCCGAUCUGGAGCCAGACAACCAACACUAAUCUUCUCGAGUUACCAGUCUUCUUUAUUGUUGUGGAAGAUGUAAAACUUUUGUUUUAGGAUCAUCACCAGAUGGCCUUCUGAUAUUUGAUGCCUGGAUAUAUCUGAUGCCUGGAUUUUGGAUUAAGACAAAAGUUUGGCGCCUUCGGCUUGCCAAAUUGUAAAAUGUUUGUACCAUUUUCAUAACCAAUCACCAAGGUGGGAUCUGUGAAGUGCGCCAUGUAGUGAACCUUACUGCACCAUAAUUUGGACUAAAAUCCAACCAGCCAGGGUCCACAGUGCCAAGCCAUUUCCAUCAGCUUUUCUCUGGUUAAGUGCUAGUCCACGUCUUGACAAUACUAUAUCCGAACAUGUAUUUCGUAUUACGGAAUUCAUCUCAUCUUUUUAGGCCCAAAACAUUUUGAAAUAAUUAACUGAGUGGGGUUUUCAUUUCGAAAUCUGAUUUGUUAUUUUAAGUGGGUUAGCUUUUGUUGCAAUUAUCUGCAUAUACCGUCCAGUAUUACACCCAUGUUUGUGGAUUAGCUUCUUGACUGUUUCUAUAUGCGCCAUGGAGUAUCAAGGGUAGUUUCUUGCGGUUCCUUCUGAUCUGUGCUAUUUUACAUUUGUUGAGUGGUUGAUGUUAUUAUUUCACAUAUGUGCUUUUUCUCGUGAUCUGCAGUUCCUUGGGCUCCCGGUGGCUCCAAAUUUACACGAAAUCCUCCUCCACCUGAAGGGGUAAGCUGUCAUAUUUGUUUUGACAUGUAAAUAUUUAUUCGACCAGUCACUACCUUUCUAUCUGUGGAGCAUAAGCUAGCCUAUUCCUAAUUUAUUUUGGCAUUUUGGGGGGCUUUGUUGUGGGGGGCGGGGGGGCGGGGGUGUGUGGUUGGGGUGAUGGAUGACUGAACUAUAACUAUUUAGAUGCUGUUUGCAUGUCCAUAACAUGUAAUUUGUUGGUAACUUACACAUCCAAGGAUUGUCCAACAUAAAGAUCAGCAAGAGUUUCAGUAGAAUAAGUUGAUAUCAUUGAUAAGGUAAGUCUGUCUAUGGUUGGCUAUAACACUGUUAUUUUAGAAAGUUGUCUCACAGUCAGCUUAUUUGGGCAAUCUGGAACUCCUUUUCCUCCCGUUUUUCACUUACUUGUAAAGAUUAGACUCCUUUAUUGUGCUUGCCUGGGAUUUGAUUGCUGCGUUGUGGCGAAGUAACCACCAGGUUUGCUUCAUAAAAGAAUAUGAGCGAAAUUCCUUAGCAUCUAUGAGACCCGUGAUUAUUUAUUUAUUGGACGCAAACAUCCAUUUUGCUCUUUCCAUUCAAUUUGUUACUUACAGCUGCUCUAACCAAUCAGCCAUCUGAGUUGCCUUCAUGAUGAGUAUUAUAGGCCUUUCUUGGUAAGGCAUGUAAAUGAAAAUGAGUCAUGUUUCAACAGUGUAUAUCUUGAGCUACAUUUUUGUUUAAUGUGUUUAUGUAAGAGCUUGCUAACAGCAAACUAGAUUUCCCUACUUGAUCAAAUAGUUCCACUUAAUUGUGACUGCUGAGUGCUGACUAUAAACUAUAAUUGUUUUUGAACCGAUUCUUCCAUCAUCGAGGUUGUCGAAUGACUGAUAAAGAUGGGUGAAAGAUUUUCAGUACUAGAUUGGAGCAAUUGUUAUCUAAUUAAAUGCCUUUGCAGGCACUUCAGUUUAGUAUUAUAAGAUGACAGUUUGAACCUGUUGGUUCAGAUAAAAAAGUAGAAGUAGAAAAGUAUCAUUUUGUUCCUUAAGAAAGUUGACUAGAUAUAGAGAAGACCUUAUACUUUCGCACAUAGCAGUGUAAUAAGCCUUUAGCAUAAUUCUAUUAUAUGUGACGUAAUUCGAAAUUCAAGUUCAGUUUAAACUUUACAAUAUGUUGUUAUAGUUUGAAACAAUGUUUUCUUCCUGUCUGGUGAUUUAAUGGUUACCAUAUUUUAAAUUGACCAUAGACCGCCUUUUGAUAGACUUUGCCCAUUGUUAAUAGCACAUUAUUAUUAGAUAACACUAACGGUGCUGAUAUUGACGAGUAUGUGAUUUUCCCGAAAACUGAAUAGCUGAGAUUAUAUUAGGCUGAUCAUAGCUGUUUGUUAUUGAAUCUUGGUUAGGACCUUUGAAGUUCUUAAAGAUUCUAACUGUUGUUCCUUGCAUCCUCUGCAAACAGUCGCCUAACUUGACAUUAAUAAGGAUAAAAAAUGACUAUUCCACCUUUUCCACAACCAAAUACAACCUCAAGCAGGUUAGACUACAGUGAACAUUUCAGCAUCUUGCAGUCUUGUUACUGUACUAAAUUUUUAUGUAUUUCAAUAUGCUUAAAGUUCAAACCCUCUACGCAUUUCAGUGCAUACUUCAGGUGUUUUAUGAUAACUGACUGAUCAUGGCUUGAAAGCGCUCUUUUUAUUGUGGCAGUCAUCUUGGUCAUUUCUAACUAACGCUUCACGUUUGCAGAUUGAGAUUGUUUAUGACUAUGGCAAGGAAGACUAAUGAAUGCGCAAGAAAAUCUCGGCACUUCUGCAGUGCAAUGAUGUUCUCUUUAACCUUUCACUUAAACAUGCGGAAUGGUGACUUUCUGGUGAAUAAAAUGAAAUCAACAAAGUCUUAGGUUGUUGUGUGCCUAUGUUAUGGAGAUUUGUAUCUAAAUUCUUCCGUUGUCUUCGUUCGUAAAUGCAAUUGGCAUAAUCAUCUCUGUCACAUUCAUCGAUCAUACCUGGAGUACUCAGUGUGUCUAUGAUUUUGUUGGCUCACUUCGAAAUAAAGGUUGUUAACAAAUAUUUUAGUCAUGCUGCUCGGCCAGGGAUCUAUUGCGGAACAUGAUAAGCUAUAUUUUAGUCGUAAAAGAGUAAGCGGUGCUUGAUACAAGGUAAAAAGCUGCAGAAAUGAAAUGAAAAUGCUAUCUGUGUAUGUAUUGUCUACGCAACUGCUAAUGUCUUUAUCAAGAAUUUUAGUGCCUAUUAGUAUGGGUUGUGUUCACUGUGCCGUUUCUGGUGACAAGAUAUCAGCAUUGUACCGACUCUUGUACUGAUGUCAUGGUUUGAAAUUCUUUUUUCUGUAAAUUUAAGUAGUCAUUUCAAUUUAAGGACAAAAAUUUGAUAGGAGCAUAUAAUAAACAAUUAGACUAAAUUGGUGUCCAAAAAAAUUGAUAUUUUGUGUUGUAAUGUGUUAGCACCCAGGUAUCUUUUGAUUGGCACAUGCCAGCACGACACGCUACGUAGUGUGUCGUAAUAUAUCAGUGAGUUUGCUACGUAGUGUGUCGUAACAUGUCAGUAAGUUUCCGGCAUGGGGUUCCGCUGCAUGUAAAUCCUUGAUCUAUGGAACUCUGUCAUACAGGUAAUGAGCAGUAAUCAAGCUAUGAAGCCUACUAACUCUGAAGACUUUGUGACUUGGAAUAAUUGUUUCGAUGCCAAGCAUUUGGUCAGAGGGAGAGGGUAAUCAGUAAUCACCAUCUAUUUCUUGUUAAUCCAGUAAAAAGUGGUCAAUUGAAUUAUGUUUCCGAAUCGUUUAGAUGCAAUAGUGUAGUGAAAAUGCCUUAAUGCUUGAUGCAUCCUCUUUGAGUGAAAGAGUAUUGCAGUGCAUUCUCUGAUUUUUUUUUUUUUUAAAUUCUUUCGUUUUCCCCCUCUUUUCUGUUUUCUGACGGCUUCGGUAGGCUGACAGUGCCUACUAGUGUAUGGAUAUGUUUUCUGCACUGCAUUGAGAUGAAGCUGACAGUGGCUACUAGUGCAUGGAUAUGUUUUCUGCACUGCAUUGAGAUGAAUAUUUAAGGCCACUGGUUUAGUUUGGCUUCCAUGGAAAAGUAUGAUGCAUCUUUGUCAUGAAAAUAGAAAGGUCCAGUACAUAUUCCUUUCAUGCCGCUUGGGGUGAUGAGGUAAGUUAGGGUUCAUUACAAAUUUUCUCCUGAAAUUUUGAUCCUUUGAAUUGCAAUUGUAACAGGUUAGUCCAUAAAGUUUGCCCUUGACCUCAAUUUUAUCCUUGAAAGUUCAAUGUUCUUUAAGUUCCACCUUGAUUUCCAUUUCAUCCAUAAAGAGUUGCCCUUGGUUUCAAUUUUGUGAUAAUUGUGUUUCAACUUCAACAAAUAUUUUGAUGUUGCCUUUGUGUCUGCUACAUCACUUCGCAUGGAAAAACUUACCCAGUUUUUAGAGUUUCCUCAAUCUCCUGAUCACAUGAAUGCAUAUAUUACUUAUACGCGACAAAACAACAGGAGAGAUCAUUUGUUUUAGCUGGAGCAGAUCCUAUGUUAACUGGAAACUAAACACAAGCACUCUCACUCUUAAGAAACUAACAAAUAUUUGGGAACUUAAAUAGGCAAAAAUACAAAUCACCCUUUAGCUUAACUAAUCAAUAUAUAAGCAUCGUUAAGCAUCAUUGAUGUAAUUGUGAAUAGUUGUCCAUGUUCAUGGAAGAACUUUAUAAGAAAGAAUAAGUAAAUGAUACACGGGAAAUAAAUUUUCCAAUCACAGCUCUUUCACGAUGGCCUUUAGUGCUUCUUUAACAUAAGGGUACUGAAAUGAGAACCCUAAUUCCUUCGCUCUUACAGGAAGCACUUUUUGACCUUCCAAAACCUGCGUUUGAUGCGAACUUAACUAUCUUGUGUAAUGUGAUACAAGAAUAAAUAGAUGGAAGAGUAUCAGGCACUUACAACUGAGGCGCCUUCGCCAAGGACUACUUUGAGCGCAAACUCCGGUACGGGCAACCAAGAGGGGCGACCGAUUACUUGGCCCAGGUGGUCACACAUCUGCGACAGCCGAACUGGGUUUGGUGCAGUUCCAUUAAUUACACCUGAAAUAUUGAAAAUCCAACUUUUGAGGUGAAUUUUUUGAAUACGCCUUGGGCUUAAAAGUGAAUAAAGAAAAAUAGAAAUCUUCUAUUCGGGCAAUAGAAAUGGUAACGGUGAAAGAUUGGCGAAAAUCCUAUCAUAUAAAGUCGGUAAGUUGCCAAUUCGGUACUUGGGCUUGCGAGUUGCUUAAAGUCAUUGAUAGAAUAGACAAAAGAAUAGGAGGAUGGCAAUCCAAACUGCUCUCGCCAGGAGGAAGGCUCACUUCGAUCAACUUGGUUCUCCCCACUCUACUACUUUACUAUCUUCAAAGCACUGAAAUGGGCUACUCAUCGUGUAGAAUCCUAAGGCAAUCCUUCUUCUAGAAAGGUUGCUCAAGAACUGGAGGUGGCGCAUCACUUAAGAACUGGAAGAAUAUAUGUAAGCAAAAAGGGAGGAGGACUAGGGAUAAGAAACAUGGAAGAUAUAAAUAUUGCGCUCCUGACAAAGUAGCGGUGGAGAUUCUUCUCCAAAUUAAACUUGUAAUGGAUCAAGUUGAUCAGGGCGCUUUACUAUACUAAGAGAAGACCACUAAAAGAUGGGAGAUCCUUCAAACCUUACUCUCAAUGGUGGAGGAACGUCUUAGAAUGUAGCAAGGAUUUAAGUGCCGUGACACUGGGUCGUGCCGGAAACUUGCCGGCACGGUAUGCGUGCUGGUCAAAAAAAUUCUUGUGGGCCGAUACAUAAUAGCAUGAAAUAUUUAUUUUCUUUAGCAACAAAAUAUUUUAGCUAUUUAUUAUGUCUUUUUAUCACAUCUUUUGAACUUUAUUUAGGAAAUUCUUACUAAUUUAAAGAAUAGAGGUUUUGAGCUGUGUCAUCGGCACGAGGUCUGUAUCGUGCCAGUAUCUUGUUGGCACGGUACGGCACGGUAGAUAUGGCCUGUGCCGACGGGCACUUAAAACCUUGGAAUGUAGAGACAUCUUCAUGUCUGGAACUACCUACAACAUUGUGGAGGGCAAGCACAUUAACCUUUGGUCAGACACUUGGAUCAUUGAUGCCCCUCUUCAACCCAUUUUCUCGGACAUUUUUUAUAGACCAACACAUAGAGAUCUACAGGUUAGAAACUGUUGGGGGCAAAGGGGCUAGAAGUGGAACAAAAUUCUUAGAGGCUUCGUUUGGUUCGGGAAUUAGUAGGAACUAGUUAUACCGGGAAUAGGUACAAAUAUGAGUUUUUGUAAAAACAAGGGUAUUUUUUUUGUUUAGAUGAAAUUGUGAGUAUAAGCUGGAACUAGAAAAAUUGUGUUUGGAUGGUUAUUGGGAAUAAGAGAAAUAGUUGAUGGUUAUAAAUAAAAAAUAAUGAUAUUACCUUUAUAAUUGAAUUUAAAUUUUUAAAUUUUAAACUUAUAAUUUUAAAUUGAAAAUUUUAACUUUUAAAUUUUAAAUUGAAAAUUUUAACUUUUAAAUUUUAAAAAUUGAAAUUAAAAUUUAAAAUUUAAAUAUUCAAAUUUAUAAAUUUUAAAAUUUAAAAUUUAAAUUUAAGACCAAAUUUAAAUUUGAAAUAUAUAAAAUAUCAAAUUUAAAAAUUAAAAAUUAAAAAUUUAUAAUAACAAAUUUAAAUUUUAAGCUUUAAAAUUUAUAAUUUACAAUUUUAAAUUUUAAUUUUAAAAUUACAAAAUUUAAAUUCUAAAUUUUAAAACAAAACUCUCUCUCUCUCUCUUUCUCUCUCUCUUUCUCUC
rnacentral:lncRNA from 1 species